rnacentral:lncRNA from 1 species
AGAUCCAGUACUGAGCUUGGCUGUGCUCAUCUCUUCAUAAUCAUCUACCACACAUGCAUGGAUAGCAAUUUUAGGUGAAGAUUUAAUUAAUUUUAUAUUCUUAUUGUUGAGAAGUCAAUAUUAGCCCAAAUAAGUCCACACCUAAAUUAAUUUGAUGUCAUUGCUUACAUCAAUUUAGUUAGGUGAAAAUUAGGUAUUUUUCCCAUGUUUAAUUUCAAUGGUUUAAAUUAGUUUGUGGUUAUUUUAAUGAGUGGUUUAGAUUGUUUCUUGUAACCUAUAAAUACCUCAUUUGUAUUUGAGUUUUAUUAUUCAACAAUAAAAAGCUUUAUUAUAAGCAUUUGAAAGCUUUCUUAAGAGUUCUUCUCUUUUUGCAAUUUUGUGAGAUUAUUCUAAAGAGAGUUUUUCUUCUUCUUGAUCAAUUAGAGUUUUUACUCUAUUUUGAUUCAACAUUUGGUAUCAGAGCAUUGGUUGUAAAGUCUCUUGAAAUUCCGAGUAUGCUCUGUGGUUGCAGUUUUGACUGAUCUUCCACAUCAGAAAAGAUUUCUUGAGAUUAUUGCUGGGGUUAUCACAAACCUUGAGAGGGAGCUUCUUUGUGUCAAGAGUAGUGUAUUAUUCUGCACGGUAGUCACUCAAGAUUGUUCGGUGUAGUCAAAGUCUUGUCGAUACGAUGGGUGAUCUUCAAGUUGUUGGAGGAAUCAAGAAGCUCAACAACCAAAACUAUAACACGUGGGCAACGUGUAUAGAGUCUUACCUUCAAGGUCAAGACUUGUGGGAGGUUGUCGGUGGUAGUGAAGUUACACAACCGGCAGCGGAAGAUGCUAACGGCGUCUUGCGGAAGUGGAAAAUUAAAGCAGGCAAAGCAAUGUUUGCUUUAAAGACCACAAUAGAAGAAGAAAUGUUGGAGCACAUUCGGGAUGCUAAAUCACCGAAGGAAGCGUGGGACACCUUCACUACACUCUUUUCGAAGAGGAACGAUACAAAAUUGCAACUUCUCGAGAAUGAACUUCUAUCAAUGGCGCAACGCGACAUGGCGAUUGCCCAAUACUUUCACAAGGUGAAGUCGAUAUGCCGCGAAAUUUCAGAAUUAGAUCCGACAGCCGCUAUUGGGGAAGCCAGGAUAAAAAGAAUAAUUGUCCAUGGCUUGAGACCCGAAUACCGAAGCUUUGUAGCCGCUGUACAAGGAUGGCCGACACAACCAUCACUUGUUGAGUUUGAAAAUUUGCUGACAGGCCAAGAAGCUAUGGCCAAGAAAAUUGGAGGAGUCUCACUAAAGGGUGAAGAAGAAGCGCUUUACACCAACCAAAGCAGAGGUGGUUUAAGACAGCACAACAAAGGCGGAUCUAGAAAGACUAGUGAACAGACAAAAAGUCAUCAGGGAGGGAAUGGCUCUCGUCUAGGGGGAGCUUCGAAGAAUCGCGACAGUAAUAGAAAGUUCAUUGUUGAAUGUUACAAUUGCGGGAAGAAGGGCCACAUGAAGAGAGAUUGUUGGUCCAAAAGAAGUCUACCGAAAGCAAUAUUGUUACUUCUAGUUCUAAAGAAGAUAGUGAAGAUAGCUGGGAUGCCGAAGCAUUACUCGCUAUGGAGGAAGAAGAAUUAGCUCUCACGGUAACAACACCAGAAAAGAUUAACUACGAGAAUGAUUGGAUCGUAGACUCAGGCUGCUCAAAUCACAUGACGGGUGAUAGACAGAAGUUGCAAAACUGUUCUGAGUACAAGGGAAAUCGUGUGGUGGUAACAGCUGACAACUCAAGGUUACCGAUAGCUCACAUCGGUAAAGCGAUCGUUACACCUCGAUAUAGUCCCAACCAAGUGCCACUUCAAGAUGUCUACCAUGUUCCAGGAAUGAAGAAAAAUUUGCUAUCCGUAGCUCAAUUGACAUCAUUAGGGCACUAUGUCUUGUUUGGUCCACAAAAUGUGAAGGUAUUCCGAGACCUAAAGAUCUCAGAAAAGCCUACGAUGGAGGGACGGCGAUUGGAGUCAGUUUAUGUGAUGUCAGCUGAGUCUGCAUACGUAGACAAGACAAGAAGGAAUGAGACGGCAGAUCUAUGGCACAUGCGGCUAGGUCAUGUUAGUUAUUCCAAGCUAAGUGUGAUGGUGAAGAAGUCGAUGCUUAAGGGACUUCCUCAACUUGACGUGAGAACAAAUACUGUUUGCGCGGGAUGUCAAUAUGGUAAAGCACAUCAAUUGCCAUACGAGGAGUCGAAGUUUAAAGCAAAGAAACCAUUAGAGUUAAUUCACUCUGAUGUGUUUGGACCCGUUAAGCAACCAUCAAUUGGCGGAAUGCGGUAUAUGGUUACGUUCAUUGAUGAUUUCUCCAGAUAUGUAUGGGCUUUCUUCAUGAAAGAAAAAUCUGAAGCAUUCUCAAAGUUCAAAGAGUUCAAAGAGAUAGUCGAAGGAGAAGUGGAGCAAAAGAUUCGUUGCUUGCGCACAGACAACGGGGGUGAGUAUAGCUCGAGAGAGUUUUCUCAAUACCUACGGGAAUGCCAAAUACGUCAUCAGUAUACUUGUGCCAAUACGCCACAACAAAAUGGUGUAGCAGAGAGGAAGAAUCGGCACCUUGCUGAAAUUUGCCGGAGUAUGCUACAUGCGAAGAAUGUACCUGGAAUAUUUUGGGCCGAAGGUAUGAGAACUGCAGCUCAUGUCAUCAACAAGCUUCCUCAACCAAGGUUGGAGUUUGUUUCACCCUUUGAGAAAUUGUGGAACAAGAAACCUAUAGUUAGCUAUCUUCGAGUAUUCGGCUGUGUAUGCUAUGUAUUUGUUCCUGACCAUCUACGUAGCAAGAUCGAUAAGAAAGCAGUCAGAUGUAUCUUUGUGGGAUACGACAAUCAGCGAAAAGGGUGGAAGUGUUGUGAUCCAGUAGAUGGAAGGUGCUACACAUCACGAGAUGUGGUGUUUGAUGAAGCAUCCUCAUGGUGGACCUCAGAAAAAGAAGUGCUGCCAGACUCGAAAGAAUUCGAAGACAUGCUACAACAAAAGAUGGGGGAGCAUACUGUCCAAAUUCAUCUAAGCUCAGCUGGGGAUCUAUGCGAUAGUGAUAGCGAACGAAGAGUAACUCUAAAUCCUUGGCAAUCUGGGGUGUAUCGACAACCAGAUGAAGAAGGUGUGCCUAGUGAAACNNNNNNNNNNNNNNNNNNNNNNNNNNNNNNNNNNNNNNNNNNNNNNNNNNNNNNNNNNNNNNNNNNNNNNNNNNNNNNNNNNNNNNNNNNNNNNNNNNNNNNNNNNNNNNNNNNNNNNNNNNNNNNNNNNNNNNNNNNNNNNNNNNNNNNNNNNNNNNNNNNNNNNNNNNNNNNNNNNNNNNNNNNNNNNNNNNNNNNNNNNNNNNNNNNNNNNNNNNNNNNNNNNNNNNNNNNNNNNNNNNNNNNNNNNNNNNNNNNNNNNNNNNNNNNNNNNNNNNNNNNNNNNNNNNNNNNNNNNNNNNNNNNNNNNNNNNNNNNNNNNNNNNNNNNNNNNNNNNNNNNNNNNNNNNNNNNNNNNNNNNNNNNNNNNNNNNNNNNNNNNNNNNNNNNNNNNNNNNNNNNNNNNNNNNNNNNNNNNNNNNNNNNNNNNNNNNNNNNNNNNNNNNNNNNNNNNNNNNNNNNNNNNNNNNNNNNNNNNNNNNNNNNNNNNNNNNNNNNNNNNNNNNNNNNNNNNNNNNNNNNNNNNNNNNNNNNNNNNNNNNNNNNNNNNNNNNNNNNNNNNNNNNNNNNNNNNNNNNNNNNNNNNNNNNNNNNNNNNNNNNNNNNNNNNNNNNNNNNNNNNNNNNNNNNNNNNNNNNNNNNNNNNNNNNNNNNNNNNNNNNNNNNNNNNNNNNNNNNNNNNNNNNNNNNNNNNNNNNNNNNNNNNNNNNNNNNNNNNNNNNNNNNNNNNNNNNNNNNNNNNNNNNNNNNNNNNNNNNNNNNNNNNNNNNNNNNNNNNNNNNNNNNNNNNNNNNNNNNNNNNNNNNNNNNNNNNNNNNNNNNNNNNNNNNNNNNNNNNNNNNNNNNNNNNNNNNNNNNNNNNNNNNNNNNNNNNNNNNNNNNNNNNNNNNNNNNNNNNNNNNNNNNNNNNNNNNNNNNNNNNNNNNNNNNNNNNNNNNNNNNNNNNNNNNNNNNNNNNNNNNNNNNNNNNNNNNNNNNNNNNNNNNNNNNNNNNNNNNNNNNNNNNNNNNNNNNNNNNNNNNNNNNNNNNNNNNNNNNNNNNNNNNNNNNNNNNNNNNNNNNNNNNNNNNNNNNNNNNNNNNNNNNNNNNNNNNNNNNNNNNNNNNNNNNNNNNNNNNNNNNNNNNNGCUGUGUAUGCUAUGUAUUUGUUCCUGACCAUCUACGUAGCAAGAUCGAUAAGAAAGCAGUCAGAUGUAUCUUUGUGGGAUACGACAAUCAGCGAAAAGGGUGGAAGUGUUGUGAUCCAGUAAAUGGAAGGUGCUACACAUCACGAGAUGUGGUGUUUGAUGAAGCAUCCUCAUGGUGGACCUCAGAAAAAGAAGUACUGCCAGACUCGAAAGAAUUCGGAGACAUGCUACAACAAAAGAUGGAGGAGCAUACUGUCCAAAUUCAUCUAAGCUCAGCUGGAGAUCUAUGCGAUAGUGAUAGCGAACGAAGAGUAACUCUAAAUCCUUGGCAAUCUGGGGUGUAUCGACAACCAGAUGAAGAAGGUGUGCCUAGUGAAACAGAAGAAUCAACUCCAUUACGAAGGUCAACAAGAACCCGAAGGCCAAAUCCCAAAUACGCUAAUGCAGCCAUAGUUGAAGAAGCAACUGGAAUAGAACCUGAGACGUUCGAAGAAGCGUCACAGAGUUCUGAGUGGAUGACAGCUAUGAAAGACGAGAUCACUGCACUUGAGCAAAAUCAGACCUGGGAACUCGUGCCAAAGCCAAAAGAUGUGAAACCCAUAUCCUGCAGAUGGGUUUACAAAAUAAAGCACCGUCCAGAUGGGUCAAUCGAGAGGUACAAGGCUCGAUUGGUAGCUCGUGGUUUCUCUCAACAAUAUGGACUAGAUUAUGACGAAACGUUUAGUCCAGUGGCAAAACUUACAACCGUCCGAGUCUUACUUGCACUUGCAGCCAACAAAAGCUGGAACUUGUGGCAGAUGGACGUGAAGAAUGCCUUUCUCCAUGGAGAGCUGGAUAGAGAGAUCUACAUGAUUCAACCGAUGGGUUUCCAGAACCGAGGUCAUCCUGAGUAUGUGUGUAAGCUGCGAAAGGCUCUUUACGGACUAAAACAAGCACCCAGGGCGUGGUAUGGCAAGAUUGCUGAAUUUCUAACUCAAAGUGGGUAUUCAGUAACAUCUGCAGACUCCAGCUUGUUUGCUAAAGCUAAUGGAGAAAGGAUAGCUAUUGUGCUCGUGUACGUAGAUGAUCUAAUCAUCACUGGAGAUGAUGUUGAAGAAAUUUUCCGAACAAAGGAGAACUUGUCAGUUCGUUUUCAAAUGAAAGAACUUGGACAACUUAAGCAUUUCCUUGGGCUAGAGGUUGAUCAGACGAAAGAAGGGAUAUUUCUUUGUCAACAGAAAUAUGCCAAAGAUUUGUUGAAGAAGUUUGGGAUGCUAGAAUGUAAGUCGAUCUCAACGCCGAUGGAACCAAAUGCCAAGAUGUAUGCACAUGAAGGCAAAGACCUGGAAGAUGCAUCGAUGUAUCGACAAUUAGUGGGUAGUCUAAUCUACUUAACCUUGACUCGACCUGACAUUUCUUAUGCAGUUGGCGUGAUGAGUCGAUACAUGCAAAAUCCGAAGAAGUCUCAUUUAGAAGCGGUUCGGCGAGUACUCAGAUAUGUGAAGAGUACAAUAGACUAUGGUCUUCUAUACAAGAAAGGUGGAAAUUGCAAACUAGUUGGCUACUGUGAUGCUGACUAUGCAGGAGAUCACGAUACUCGCAGAUCAACUACUGGGUAUAUGUUUACCCUUGGAUCUGGAACGAUUUCUUGGUGUAGCAAGAGACAACCGACUGUGUCCAUGUCAACUACGGAAGCAGAGUAUCGAGCAGCAGCAAUGGCAGCUCAAGAAAGCACGUGGCUGAUACAACUAAUGAAUAAUCUACAUCAACCAAUAGAUUAUACAGUUCUGUUGUACUGUGACAACCAAUCGGCAAUUCGGCUAGCGGAGAAUCCUGUUUUUCAUGCAAGAACUAAACAUGUGGAAGUGCAUUACCACUUUGUUAGGGAAAAAGUUCUGCAAGAAGAGAUUGAGAUGAGGCAAGUUAAGACAGAUGAACAAACUGCUGACUUGUUUACAAAAAGCUUGAGUGUUGGAAAGUUUGAACAUUUCCGUCGUCAGCUUGGCGUGAUUCAAAGAAUGGGGGCUAACAUUGAGGGGGAGUGUUGAGAAGUCAAUAUUAGCCCAAAUAAGUCCACACCUAAAUUAAUUUGAUGUCAUUGCUUACAUCAAUUUAGUUAGGUGAAAAUUAGGUAUUUUUCCCAUGUUUAAUUUCAAUGGUGAAGUCAAUAUUAGCCAAAUAAGUCCACACCUAAAUUAAUUUGAUGUCAUUGCUUACAUCAAUUUAGUUAGGUGAAAAUUAGGUAUUUUUCCCAUGUUUAAUUUCAAUGGUUUAAAUUAGUUUGUGGUUAUUUUAAUGAGUGGUUUAGAUUGUUUCUUGUAAUCUAUAAAUACCUCAUUUGUAUUUGAGUUUUAUAAUUCAACAAUCAAAGCUUUAUUAUAAGCAUUUGAAAGUUUUCUUUAGAGUUCUUCUCUUUUGCAAUUUUGUGAGAUUAUUCUAAAGAGAGUUUUUCUUCUUCUUGAUCAAUUAGAGUUUUUACUCUAUUUUGAUUCAACACUUAUCUUUCUAAAAGAUUAACAAAAAUCUCAGCUCAGCGCUGAAUAAAAAUUCCUGUAAACUAGGAACAUAAAACUCAAUAAUGACAUGGAAAGCUUAUAUUCAAAUUCAAUUGUAUUCAUGAUAUGAUUAUUUCAAACAACCAACCAAAAAUACUUAAAACAAAAACCCAAUUGUGAAACUAAAAAAACCCAACUCUCAUAUUCUCCGAAGAAUGCACUAAAUUAAUUAAUUAAAUUUUUUAAAAAAGAAACAAACCUAAAUUCAGGUACGAGGCAAAAAGAUUGGGGAAAAAAAAGAAAGAAUAGGAAAGGAAAUGAACCUUGGGAGUCCAAAGCGUGUCGCUUGAAGCGACGCCGUUCCAAGCACGGGAUACAAGGAGAGUCAGUGCUACGCUGUGUGCUUUUAGGUUUUGAAGUAUCAUCAACAUUAUGUCUCUACCAAAAGCAUCCAGUGCGUCCUGCAAUAAUUCUUCAGUUUCUUCUUCUUUUAGUUUUUCUUUUCUUUCCUCUCGCUUUCUCUCCUUUAUCAGUUUCAUCUUCGUCUUCUUCUUCUUCAGUAAAACGACAUCAUUUUCCUGUUCUUCUCUUUUUCGCAGUUCCAUUCUGUGUGGUAGCAGCUAUUACUACAGAGCAAGCGAAUGAAAGGAAUGACCAGAAGCUGCGAAAAAUGAGGUAAUUGUAAUAACUCCGAAAAACAUCAAAAUAUAAAAAUAUGUUAAUGCUAAAGGACCUGUCUAUGGUACAGGUUCUGUAACAAACAUCUCCCGUCAUCCCACCAUCCGAUUUUCUAUUGUUUAGUUUCUCACUCCACAUCCAACCACAUCCAACGGCUGAUGCUGCAGUCUGUACCUUACAGAUUCUGUAAGCUAGUCGAGUCCAAUGCUAAAAUGCCCAUAUUUAAUUUUUUUAAAAUCAUUUACAGUAUGUAGAAAUAUACGACCGACAAAUUUAUUAUUUUUUAAAUAUAAUAAAUUUUACGUGGCUCAAACUCAUUCUCUCGUAGAUAUUAUUGAACUACAGGCCUACAAGUUAAAAAGUUAAUACUUUUUUACUUAUUAUUUUAUUCAAUUUUUUUAUCACUUGAUUUAUUAUUCAACUUUAUUAUGAAGAUUGAUAAUAAAGUUGAGAAUAUUUUUUAUUUACGAUAUUUUAACCUUUUUAGAGUAUGAUUAUGUAAAACGAGCGGUCGGGGGUGUUAUCGGUAUUAUAAAAGAAAUAAAUAUCUAUUUAAAAAAAAAAAGCGGUGGGAGGUCACGUGGUUUAGAUACUGUUCUGUAAUGAUGAUAGUUAAUACUGGUCCGAUAAUGCAUUCUUGCCACGAGCCCCAGAGCAAAGUCAUCCUUCAAUUGAAGGACGAAAAUCGGGCGUUUGGGCUCUGGCUCAAAUACGUGGCAAGAUGCUGAGUGAUUGCUUGGCAAAACAACAAGUUGAUGACUUGGUUGUUUAUUGUGAUAUUAGAGGUGGCAAAACCGAUGACAAAGUGGUUUUCGUGCCAUGUAAAAUUUAGAGUGAUUUAGAUAUUUAUUUAAUAAUUAUGUUAAAAUAUUAAAAUAUUUAUUUAAUAAUUAUGUUAAAAUAUUAAAAUUUUAAGUUUGAUAUGAAAAAUAACAAUUGACACAACGUAACUUAUUAAUUAAUAAUUGUGUCGCGAGAUACCUUAUAAUCUAUUUAAUUAACACUCAUUUAACAUGAUUUAUAUCAAUCAUUUUUGCUCCUAUUUAAUAAAAAUUUUACAAUUUUUAUAUAUCUAAAUAGUAUUAUAUAUUGAUAUCAUAAAAAAUAUACAUAUUUAUUGAUAUAUUACAUAUUUACACCAUUCAGGUUUUAAAAGCAUCUAGAAUUUUAUGAAAUGGAACACCACAUAAAUGUUUAUCCUUCGUAAGUAAUUGUUUCGUUAACUGAGUAGAUAGGUCAAGAAUAUAGGAUAACGAUUCUCUCUUGAUCUGAUCUCCUCCUGAGAAAAAAUACAUGUAGGUGAUUGGUAGUUAAUAAAUUAAAAAAUUAAAAAAUUAAAUUCUACCCAUACACUAUUACUUAAAGACAAAUGGAACAAGAUUUUUAAAAGCUCAUGAGAGCUCAGAUCAGGAGAGGAUCUUUAUCCCAAGAAUAUAAACCUAACUCGAGAAGCCAAAAAAUUGUGUUAAAAAGGGUACGGCCUAUUUAAUUAUCGUGUCAAAUUUAAUAAUCUAAAUCUACUUUUUUGUGUUGUGUUCAUGUUUGCUAAAUGGAUUGUAUCAAAUUUUGUUAGUACUAUUUAUAGUAUAUUAGAUAUUUAAAUAAGAUUUGCUUCUAAAACGAGAAUUAUAAAGUUCAGGUGUCUAUUACAUAUGUGUCAUGUAAGGCACCGUCCGACGCAAUGUAGCUGGACCCGUCAUGUAAAUAUAUUAAUCUUUCUAGCAUAUCUCUCUUCUCCCCCCUCUUACUUGUAUAAAAAGAAUUAAUGUCGUUAAUACCAACAGGUGAAUACAAAUGUGCCAAAAAAAAUUUCUUUAUUUUUUCAUAGAGAUAUAAUUUCAUUCCAACAAUAACAUAAUAGUAUAACAACUAGUCCAUAACAGACUUGGAGAUCAAUCUAUAGAUAAUCUGAUAGAAUAAAUAGUUGAACAAACUUUUUACUUUCAUAGUUCACACUAACGAAUAAUGAGAACACAAUGCAUCAGAGACUCUAUUAAAGAGCAUCUCUUAAUCAUGCAUCCAACAUGCUCAAGCUCUAUCGGGAACAUCUCCAAUACCAUGUCUAGAUCAAGUAGUAUGUAUAGUUUCAGGUUUAUGUGCUUUUUUUUUUUUUUUUUCGAUUCCACCCUAUGUGGUGGUUGUGUUCAUUUGGUUGUGUUUCGUGUUGCUGAUGUGUUCAUCUUUCAGAUUUUGUACUUGAAUGGGUAAGAUUUGGCAAAUAGGUGACCAUGAAUCAUUUUCUAAUGUGGAUUUGUUACAUUGCUGGUUGUAUUUUGAACCUAAAUUAAAUCUAUUUAAUUAGUCUUCUGGGAGUAAAUUUAUGAUUUACCUAGCAAGAACAAAAAUUCCUUAGCGACAUCUAAAUUGAUCGUGUACAUAUUAAAAGGAUGUGUAUAAAUCAUUACAUGAUACUUUAGUAUGCUGAUAUUUUUCCUAGCACGUCAGUAUGAGAAAUCAAUUAUUUGUUUAUCUGUUGACUGCAAUGAAUUUAUCUGUACAUUAGUGACACACACACACACAUAUAUAUGUAAUCAUUUUCAGGUGUGGAUGCCUUCAUUUGUUUUAAUGCGAACACGGUUUUAAGCUAUGCGGUUUUAUAACGUUAUGCACUAACUUUAUUGAACUACGCCCGUACUAAAGAAGGAUUAUAUAUAUGUGUAAUAUAUAUACGUAUACAUAAAGUUCAUGCAAACUAAGGUUUUUAUUUAAGCAAUUCACAUUUUAACAAUAAAUGCUCUUCACUCUUGUUUGCUGGUGUAAUUGGAUGGAUGGUUUUGCUUCAAUAUUCUCUGUCUCGCUCUUUCGUUUAUAGUUUUUACCAACUAAUUGAGAGGAAACAAAAACUGUUUGCCGAACGGCCGAACAUGUCCACCGUAUAUAUACUGGGAUCUGUGUAAGUUACAUAAGUAUUAACAACUGAUCGUGUUUUUAAUUACUUUUGUUUAUUAAUAACUUGUAAUGAGAAAUCUAAUUGCACUGAUAAUUUGAGUAAAUUUCAUAUAUUUUCUUUACAUUUUAAAAGUGAAAAACUAAUUUAACACUAUUGGACCAAAAAUAUUAUGGGUCCAACUAAAAUUCAAAUAAAUAUUGUCUAAACAAAGCCGAAGAUGAGUUCUUAGGAUCCAAAGAGAACACAUAUUUAAAAUAUGUGAUUCUUCCUGUUUUUUCGUUUGGUCGAGCUUUCUCAUUGGAAAGUUAUGCUAUAUCUUGAAAGUAUUUGGCAAACCCAGCAGUACUUCAUUCUUGAAGCACACAAGCAGGGGUCCUGUACCACCAACGUAUGAUUUACUCGUGACUAGUCAAGGGAAUAGUACAUGAGUGAGUGCCUGAAUUAUGAGCCUUGCCUUACAGAUAGACAAAUUAUAAUCAUGAGUUUUGUUCCUCAGGGUUUUGAAAUCUCAUUACCAAGGGUACAAGUGAUCAAACUUUUAACCCGUCAAAACAUUAACGUAUAAGUAUUAUACGUUCGCUUUUCAAGCUCAUGCAAGUUCCAGUAAUUUGGCACUACAUCAAUGGGCAGACUGAAAUCAAGAGGUGAGUCUCCACUCACCAGACUCUCUUAAUAAUGUAUAACAAGCACCAUACUAAAAUUAGAUACCUUAUUAAAAUGAAACUCCCAAACAUGAUCACAAAGGUCUUCUUUUGUGAUAUGAGUCUACUAGAAUCAUUAAUUGAUCAAAAUUGUAUAAAGGUUGUAUAAAGGUUUAAAAAAAAGAAAUAUCUCAUUAAUUGAUCAAAAUUACUAAGUUCAUCUAUUAGUCAAAAUUAGAAUGAUAAAAAAUCAUUAAAUAAUAAAUAUUCUUAAUUUAUCUGUUAUUGUUUAUAGUAGUUGUAGUACAUAUAUUAAUUAAAAUUUAUUAUGACCGUAAUUUUCAAUAUUUCACAAAUCCCCCUCUCUGUUUCUUUUCUUUUAUUGUGCGUUUUGGUUAUUUUUUAGGGAGAUAGGCCCCCUGAUGCGACUUACAAUUACAGGUGACAUGUCUAAUCUUGCUCACAAUUAGUAGAGACUAGAGAGUCUACGGUCAAAAUUCUUUUUUUUUUUUUAAAAAAAAAGAGUAAUUUGAUUUUUCAGCCACUUUCCUUUUUUGUUAUCAACUAGUCAUAACUCACAAGCGUGACAAUCACUAAAUUCAGGGUGUGUUUGGAAUUGAUGUUGGACAGAUAUAACUUAAAAGUUAUAACAGUAAAGUAUUUGGUAAACACUAUCUGUUGUAACCUGAAAGUUAUGUUAAUAUGAUUUUUCACUUAUAUAAUAGAGAAUCUAUUAUAUCUUCAAUAAUUUUGUCAAAAUUAUUAUUUAAAAUUAAUAUUUAUUACAUAUUAUUAAUUUUUGUUUCAUAGUUACAACUUUUUUUUCACAGCAAUUGUAGCUUAAAAGUUACAACACCUCAAUUCCAAACACACCCCGAAAGUGACUUCCUCACAGCCGGCAACUAUCCACUUGCCAUUAGUUGAAUGCGGGAGUGGAAUCGUGUCUUUUGAAAGUUAAAAUAAAGUUAGAAGGAAACAAAUUGUCAAUGUGGGUUCUUAGAUCAAUUUUAGGACAACCACAUGAUUUUGUUGAUGGAAUAAAUGUCAUUAACGUGUUUAUUUUUUAGAUUUAGAAAAAAUAUCAUGUGUUUAUUUUGGGAUUUAAAAAAAAAAGAAGAAUGAGAAUUAUUAAUAAUAUUUACUUGCUAAAAAUACAAAGAAAUAUAAAUAAAUUUUAAGUGAGUCUCAUAAAUUUAGGAAUGAGUAAGAAUUUCAUUUAGAUGGAAGAGGCGGGAAUAAGAAUGGAGAAAUGAGAAUAAAGAGUAAAAAUCGUUCAUCUUUAUUGAAAAUUACAACUUUCUUUUUACUCCAUUUUGGUAACUUACAAUCAUCUAUUCUAAUUUUAAAAUAAAGUAAACACAUCAAGUUUGGAAUACUGUUGAUUUUGAUCUCGGUUCUUGCAGUUGAAAUAAACAAUUUAUUCUUCUACAUUUUGAUUCCAAUUCAUUUUUAUUCCAAUUCAUUUUUAUUCUUGCCUAUUAGGAUUCAUAGUUAAUAAAUGCACUACUAAUAUAUUGUCAAAGAGACUCUAUUUUUUAGUUUCAUUCUAAUUCAUCUCAAAUCUCUCUCAUAUUGAAUACUUUGUUGAAAUUUAUUAAAGAUAUUUAAAAAAAAAUUUAUCGACAACUCUAGCUGCCAUCUAUAUAAAUAUAUUAAUUUUUUUUCUAAUUAGUGCUUCUUAAAAAGAAUCUACCUCAGCCAACCCAAUCAAUUUUUUCUCCCUCAGCCUUCCAUAGGAUUUGAAUUCGGGUAAUUAAUAAAGUAAAAUUACUUAAAAAUCACUCGGCUAAGUCUUUGAGGUAGUUUAAUCUUAGAUAAAUAUUAAGGACUUAUCAAUUAUCCUAUUAAAAUUAGUAUGUAUAAGCAUAUGGCUAAGGCAAACCAAAUCAAGUACAGUUGACGUUAUAUGUGAUAGAUUAAAUGAUUUAUAGAAGUGAGUCAUCUGUGAUAUAUAUCAUACAACCUAAUUCAUUUGAAUUUGUGAAUAUUGAAUUUGAAAGCAUAUAUUUUGGUAGUCUAUUUUAGAGUAAUUAAUUUUAAUUAAAAAUAACUGUUAUAGUAUUAUCUCAAAACGUCACCUAAAUUGUAAUUUUAAUUGAUAAAAUCUCACGACUAAGGUUAAGAGAUUUAGAGAUUUUACCUAAAAGUAUAAUGGUAGGUAUUGGCGUUUGCCUUGCCCGCUUUAUCAUGGUCCAAAAAUCGCCUUUUGGGCCAUGGAGCGGCUCAUGUGCUUGCUUUGCACAAUCUCUAGGAAUCCAAACUUGAUUUUGUUUUUGGUUUACACAUAUUUCCAUGGAAUUCGGCAGAGAGCAGAUGAUUAGGCUAAUUCGGAGUUGGAAUUCCUUUCUGUUCAGUAGUGGGACCAAACAGGGAGGGAGAACGGGCUGAGCUUGGACAAGCCCAGGCUCAAGUCUGAGCUCAUAAAAGCCCUUCCAAAUUUGGAGGGGCUGAACAGAAGUUGGCCCAUCAUGUGUUUGAGCUUCCUCAACCAUUUCAUUUAGAGAGUGCCUAAGUUACAUCUAUUGUAACUUAUUGCUUUUGUCUUAUUUCCUUUUGGCUAAUAUCAUAUAGAUCCUUUAAUUUUUUUCUAUUUCCAAUUUUUAUAGUUAUGGAUGCAUUUGUCUUCUUCCAUCUCUCAUACAUCUAUUUUUUAUUCUUUCUAGGAUUUUAUUUAUUUCCUUGAACAAUAACAAAUGAUUGUCAAAUUCAUAUAAGUCUACAAAUUCAUAAUAGACAUCUGGUUCUAAAUUUAUUAUUCCUAUCCUUUCUUGUUCUAAUAAAUCUAUUUUUUGGUUUAUUAAAUUUAUAUAUGUAUUUACUAUGUUUUCCCAUCCUAAAAACAAAUGAUCUAUACUACUUGCCAAUUCUUGUAUUGUAUUAACAGCUUGAUUCAUAGCGUUUCUAUUUUAUACCAAUAUAUUAAAAAUUUUAUAAAUUCAUCUAUAAAUUUUAUUUUCUUUUCUAUUAAAAUUUCACCACCUACUGUAUCUAUAAAUCUUUCUCUAAACUCCUGGGUUAGUUCAAGUUCUAUAUUUCUUAUAUUAUUUUUAUCAGUUUUAAUUGCUUUUAUUAAAUUUUUUAUAUCUUCUUUAUCAUAUACCUUUAAUGUAUGCAAACUGUCUACUAUAGUUCUUAUAGGAUCCAUGGAGUCCGUGGCUCUGAUACCAUUUCGUCGUUAUUAAAAUUUAAAUCAAAUAAUCAAAAUUUCAAAAUUACUAAAUUUACAAAAUUACAAAAUUAAUUCGUGCGUUAUUAAAAUUACAAAAUUAACUUACUAAUGCGAAGAAUGAUUCAUAUGAAUAAAUAAACACAUAUGAUCAACAAAUUAUUGUUCAUUCAGAAACAUAGAGAACAUAUAUUUUUAUGUAACUUAAAUAUUAAUAAUAGAAAAGUGCGUGGCGUUGUUACACCCCUAGGUACAGCUAUUAAAAUAGCACUUUGGACCAAUAGCCCGCAACCCAAAGAGGUUUCCAGCCUAUAUACUUUUCAUAUUUCUUAAGUUAUAUUUCAAAUUCUUCAUUAUCUGAAUUAUAGGUAUAUGAAGGUCCAGCUUCAUAAUCUUUAUGUUUCAAAUAUGCUUUUGCUAUAUCAAUUCCUUCAUCUAUUGUUGGCAUAAUUAUAUUAUGUUUUAGAUUGUCUAUUUCAAUGUUUUCUAUAAUUUUCCGUUUUAUUUCUUGAGGUAAAUUAAGUGAGUGUACUGCUAAUAAGUCUUCUAUUCUAACGAGUUCCUAUUUACUGAACAGAUAUGAACUCUAUUUAUAUGAUCCUAUAUUAAAAUCUAUUAUCAUCAUGUACUCAUUGUAUGUUAUUUUAGUGGUUGGAUUUAUUAUGUAUUCUUUAGAUUCUCCUAAAUAAAACUUGUGAUCCAUGUUAUAAACAAAAAGUUUGUUUCAGUUUGAAAGUUUUUCAGUUUAAAAGUUUUGCUCUUACUCCAUAAAUUAUCCCACCAACAACCAUCAACAAACUUCCACCAAGAGAUAAAAGUCGAGUAUUAUUACCUGAUUUAUCCUUUCUCCUUUACCUUCUGAUCUCCUUCCAGUAACCUGCAGCCUGUUUGUCCUGUGCCCUUACAGCGUCCUGCCUCAGCGGGAUCUGUGGACUCAGAUGGAUUUACUGUAUGGAUUUCGAUCGUCUUGAUAAAGAAGUGUUGGAUAAGUUUAGGUUUCUCUUCUUUUUCUUUGAUGGUUUUUGUUUUUGGUUGAUGAUGUUUUGAUUUAGGAUUUCGAGCAAGCAAGUGUUUAGUGAUCCAUCGUUAAUAAUUUCAGAGAAAAAAUGAAGGAUGUCUGAAAACGUCUGAGUGAGAGUGUGUGUUUCUCCUCAUUCUUUUUAUUUAUAUGAAAGAGAUUCUAUUACAUUAUUGGUCUAUGACCUCAUUGCUUACGUAUCUAUUACAUUAUUGGUUUUCAGCUUACAUCAUUAUUUCAUAUUUUAUUAUUACAAUUCUUGACUUCUUGUCUUCUUCUUUUCUUUUAGCAUUUUAGUUGUCUGCCACGAGCAUCUUCUUUUUAUCUUGUCUGCUACGAGCAUCUUCUUUUUAUCUUGUCUGCCAUGAGCUGCUUUUAUUUGUCGAGCAUCUUUAUUUCCAUAAGCUGACAAGCUUGCUGUAUGGUUUCAUGGCUACUAGGGAAUCUCAUGGUGCUGAUUUCAUUGAUGAGAUCUAAAAGAAUAUUUGAAGGUGUAUGGCUAUCCUCUGAGGUUACAAGGAUAUAAUUCUGAAAUCGGAUAAUUGUUCUAUAGUUUCUUUUAUAAAGGUCUUUGGCAAUACUCCAUAUCGCCUUUAUUCCCCGGGCUCUGCGGGUUCUGAUCCAUGAUUUGGUUAUUUGAGGAAUAUUUGUAUAUUCAGUUCCUACUUCUAUUUGGAAAUUUUUUGUAAGGUGCCCCACAGAGAUCAUGUAAAACGCUUGAUAUUCAACAUUUUGGUGGUAUUUUGGGCUAAUAGUGUAAAAUUUUAGGUAUAUAGGCCUUUUUUGGGCAAAUUUUGAAACUUCUUUGACUAAUAAUUCAUCUAAACUGACUAUUUCUCUUAAAUCUGUAUCUGGAUAUACUAACCCAUACUGUGCUAUUCUUCCAAUGAGGAGAGGAUCUGCUCCUUUUAUAGCUAUCAUCCUGGGGUAUAUAUUUUUUUCAGGUGCCUUGAAAAUGGUAUUAUUGUGGGAACAUGUAGAGUACACCCAUGUGGAAAACUAUUUAUAUUCUUCUUCUUUUGGAUUUAGGGUAAUAAGUUUUUUUUCUUCUUCUGAGGAAGUGCUGUUUAUUCUGAUGAACUUUUUUGUAGAAGUCUUUUUAGGAGAUUCGACUUCAAUGGACAAGGUUCAGUUGAAGGAUGGGUCACAGACUGGUUCUUGUUGUGGGAGAGGUCCACUACUGCUUCCUAUUUUUAUUGGGUUAGUAUUUAUUGAAAGCCCUUUUGUUAAGUCGUUUAUGUAUGACUCUAACAAAUGUAUUCCCUUCUCAUGAGCCUCUGUGGCUUCUUUCAUGUAAUUUAUAGUAUCUAGCAUGUCUGAUGCUUCUGCUUUGAGCCUUUGUAUUUCUGUGUUUAUCACAGAUAUGGUUUUAUUUACUUCUGUAUUCAGUCUCCGAAUUCUAUGUUCCUGCUUCGAAAAUCUGCAAGAAAAUUAUUAGUUCCUUUUAAAAUUAUAAUAUGACAAAUACGCUUGCCAUCUAUGUAAUCUCUUGUAGUGAGGUUCAUUUGGCAAAAUUUUACUAAUAAGCCAAUUUACCUAAGAAUUGUCUGUUUCUAUAAUAAAUUAUUUCUAGAGUAAAAAUAAUGAGAACUUUUUUAUUCCUUUGUAUAUUGCAAGGAGUUCUUUUUCAUGACCUUGGUAAUUGACUUGUACUGGGUUAAAUGUUCCACUAGUAUAUCGGCAAAUUUCAUUUAUAUCAGUUUUAAGUACUGCUCCCCAAUGUAAAUCAGAUGCAUCAGUUUGUACUACUAACUUAUCAUUUUCUUCUGGUAACCUUAAUGAUGGGAGGUUUUUACAUUCUUCUUUUAGGCAGUGUUUACUUUCUGGAGUGGGAGUGUGGAGUGUGGAUUCCUCACACUCCAGUGUUUACUUACCUUAAAAAAGGGGGGAGUGGGAGUGGGAAUCCGUGGGUCCCACCCAAAUUUGGAGUGGGGAGUGGGAUUCCCACUCCCAUUGGGGGAGGUGGGAGUGGGAAUCCACUCCCCCCUCUUCCCAUUUUAUCCUUAUAAAAUUAAAAUAAAUAAAUAAUAUUUAAUAAAAUAAAUAAUAUUUCAUAAAAUAAAUAAUAUCAUAUUUAUUAAAAAUAAUAAUUAUAUCAUAUUUAUUUUAUUAAAUUUAAUAAAAUAAAAAUAAAUUUAUAAAUAUAAUAAAAUAUUUAUUUUAUUUUCCAAAUAUAUUUUUUAUUAAUUUUUUAAUUACAAAUUAUAAUUCUGUACAUAAGGAUAAAAUUGUAAUUUAAAACAAUUUACUCCUAAUCUAAGACAAAGUAAACAAAUAAUUGGGAUUCUAAUUGACAAUCCAUACUUUCAUUUAAUCUAAGUAAACACCAUACUCUCACUCCCACUCCACACUCCUAAUCCAAGGAUUCCCACUCCUCAGGAUUCUCACUCCAAUCCAAAAAGUAAACGCAGCAUUACAUUCUUUACAGUUUCCAUAUGUUCUUCACUCCAUCCUUUAGUAUUAUUUUUUCUGAGUAAUUUUUGAAGUAUAUUUCUCUUUUUUGCUAAGUCUUUUAUAAAUCCUUCUGCAUAAUUUAAACAACCUAAAAAUUUUUGUAUUUGUUGUUUAUUUUCCAAUUUAUCUGGGAAUUCUGUAAUCUUUUUUUCUAUAUGGCUCUAGAGUCUAAUUCCUUUUUUGUCAAGAACCAUUUCUAAAAAUUCUAUCUUCUUGUGUUCUACGACUGCUUUUCUUUCUGACAAAACUAUACCUUCUCUGAUACAUAUAUUAACAAAUUCUCUUAAAUGGUUUCUAUGGUCUUCUAAUGUUUCUGAUGCUAUUAAUAUGUCAUUAACAUAGACUAUGAUAUAUUUAUAAUCUCUAAAUAUUUUAUCCAUUCGACUUUGAAAGAUUUGAGGGGCAUUUUUUAGUCUAAAGGGCAUUACUAUCCAUUCAUAAUGUCCUUGUGGGGUGCUAAAGGCUGUAUAAGGAAUACUGUGUUCUUCCAUUUUUAUUUGCUAAAAUCCUGAUUUACAAUCAAAUUUUGAGUAGUAUGUUUUAUUUUUUACAAGAUUUAUUAAUACUUCUUUAUUUGGAAGAAAAUAUUCAUCAAACUUCGUAUAUUUAUUUAAUUCCUUAUAAUUUAUAACCAUUCUUGGUUUUCCUCUUACUUGUUUUGAUCUUUUCCUAACCAUAAAGGCUGGGCUAUUAUGAAGGCUAUUACUAGUUCUUAUUAGUUUUAAAUUUAAUAACUCUUUUAUUUGGAUCUUAAACUCUUCUCUAUCUUCUUCUGUAUACAUCAUAGAUUUAAGCCUUAUUAUUCUAUUUCAAUUAAUUCUAUUUUUGUUCUAGGAUGGUCUGGUUUCCAUAAUGCUAAUCAGUUAUCUUUAUAGACUUGUUCAAGCUGUGAUUUUAUUGUUUCUAGUUGUAUAUUAUAACUAUGUCCUUUCAAGAUUAAAUAAUUUUUUCAUAAAUAAUAUUAUCACCAUGCUGGGCUGGCUGAACUCGGUAGGGUUUAAAUUCACGAGGGAUGUGAAGGACAUGAUUACAAGGGGUUUUUAAGGUGAUCAUAUAAGGAGUUUGUUGAUAGUACUGGAAUUGUUGUAGGAAGGCAUUUCCUAGGAGGAUAUCACAAUCCAUAUGGUCAUAUUGAAAUAUUUAAUUAAUACGUACUAUUUUACUUCCUAAAUGUAUUUCAAAAUUUAUCAAAGAUUGAUUUACUUGUUGUUUAUCUCUUGUUAUUCUAAUGAUUUUUAACUUUCUAUUAGGUUUCCAUUGGUUUGAUAAAAAGGGUUUCAUAAUUAUUAUUUCACUACUAGUGUCUAUUAAGGCACAUGUAUCUAUAUCUUUUUCUGUUAUGUUUAUUUGUGUAUAAACGGACAUAGGGUAUUUUAUAUAAGCUUGUUUUAACAUGUUUCACACACUGUUCUUUGACCUUCUAUUUGUAAGGUUAUUUUAUGUUUUUCAAUUUUAUAGUAUUCUAAAUCAUUUAAAAAACUAUUUCCUAGCACUAUAUGUUUUUCUGGGUCUGUGGUCAUGAAUAAGUCUAUAUAACAAGAUACUAUUAUUCUAAAUCCUUCUGUAAUUAUAGGGACUUUAACUUCUUGUUUACAAAUAUGUUUAUUACCUUAAAAUCAGUGUAUUCAUAUGGAAUUUCUUUUUCUUUUAUUAAGAGUCCUUUUAUUUUUAGUGUGGUUCAUAUAAUUAUGGCUCGUUCCAGUGUCUACUAGUAUAUGUAUUUUUGUCGUAUAUUAUAUUCCAUUAAAGUAUUGUCCAAGUAUUUUUACUACAUUAUUAGUUGUUAUUGAUCUAGUUAUUUGUUUAUCCAUACUAGUUAUUUAUUUAUCAGUGCUUAAUCUUCUAGAUGAACUUCCUCUUACUAAAGUCCUUCCUGCAAAACUUAUAGGAAUGAUGGAGUUUUCAUUAUUAUCAUUUAAAAAUUACUUUCUAUCAUCUAUGUUCAGUUCAUAAUUUAUAGGAAUUUUGUAGUCUUGGAUUGUGGGUUCUAUAAGGGUUGCUAUCUCUUCACUUUCUUUAUUUAUUUCUAUAUAAGGUUUAUUUCCAUAUAUUUCUCCAUAGUUCGAAUUACAAAAACUAUAUAAUGCAGAAUAAUGUAUUGUCAUUAAUCUAUUUCCUUCUUUCAUUAAGUUCUUUUUUAGUAGUUUAAAGUGUAAGCUUAGCGUCUCAUCUAUAUUUUUAUCUUUUAUGUGUACACAAUAUCUAGGAUGACAUGUAAAUAAUAGUUUAGUGUAACAUAAAUUUCCUUCUAUUGUUCCUAAAUGUCCUAUACUGGGAUCAUGAAACCUUUUAUCAUGUAGUGAUAAGACUAUAGGACUAUCUAUUCCUUCUUUGAAAAAGGAUUUUACUAAUAUUUGAAUUUAUGCUAGAUAUACAUAUUGAAUUUUUUCUUUUGUUGAUUCAUUUUUUAUUUUUCUUAAUGCUAAAUCUAUAGAUCUUUUAUUUAUUAAACUAAAUCUAAUAUUUCUUUCAGCUUGUGUAAUUGUUACAGCCUUUUCUUGUUCAUAAUAUUCAUGUAAUAUUAUCCGUUUUCUUUUGAAUAUAUCUCUAAGUCUAUGUAAUAUCCCAUAUUUCGGUUUUUCCAUAUUUAUUUUCAAAAGUUUAUUAUAUUUUUCUUUAUUAAAAGUGGCAACAAGACUAUAUCCACUUUUAUUUUCUUCUUUUUCUAUUUCUUCAAUUUCUUCUAUCUCUUCUUUCUCUAUUAUUUCCUUUUUAUUCUGACUCAUAUUCUGAUCCUUUUUCCACAUAAACUUCUUUUCCUUCAUAAUCUAAUAUAUCACUUAUUUCUUCUAAGUCAUUUCUUAUGUUUUCAAAAUCUUCUCUUAAGAGUCUAACCUUCUUUUUUGUACAAUCUGUGCUAAUCUGUCAUAUUUCUCCACAAUUCCAACAUUUACACUUGGAUUUAUCUAAUUUGUUUCUUUGAUUUUUAUACUUUCUUUUAUAAUACUUUCUUUUAUAAUACUUUCUUUCUGGUUUCUUGUAUUUUCUUUUAAAGUUAUUGUAUUUUUUAUAUUUUUUCUCUUUUUUAUAUAACUUUCUCUUUCGUUUAUAAGGUGUAUAACAACCCCAUUGGGUUGGCAUUUCUGUCUUUUCACAACAUAUUUCUCCUAUAUUUUUACUCUUUUUCAUUAGAUUUCUUUGAAUGCAUAUUUCACUUAAUCUUAUAUUUAAAAAUCUUAUUCUAGAUCCUAAAGUAUCUGGAAGUUUAUUAGUAACACUAUAUUUCUUAUAUUUAUUAAUAAAUAUCCAUUCAAGGGAUAUGGUAACUUGGAAUAAUAUAAAUUUUUAUAGAUACUUUGGUCUUCUUGACUGUAGAAUUGUUCAUAAUAAUAUUUAUUAAAUUCACAAGUAUAUUCUUUUACAAAACACAUGUUACAAAUAGUUAAAUUCAUUAAUUUCAUUCUUGCAUUUAAUUUUUCAUUUCUUGUUUCUAUUUCAGUAUUUUGUAUCCAAUCUUCACCUAAAAAUUCACUAGCGAUAUAUUCAAUUAAUCUUUCAAUUCCUAACCCUUUAUCUCUAGCUAAAGCUGUUUUAGUUGAAUCUUUUAUCAAUUUUUGUGUAUCUCCGCUUAGUCCUUUCCACCAGUUGAAUACAUUUCCUGAAAAACUGGCUAUUAGGAUGUCAGCGAAUAAAUUUAUCUUUUCUGCUUCAGAUUCUACAUUCGAAUCAUCCUUAGAACCAUUGUAUAUAAAAAAUAACUUCAUUUGCAUUCCCUAUUCAAUUAUAGCUUUUCGAGGUUCUAUUUUGCAAUCUAAAUCUAAAAAUGUUCCUGCAUUGCUUAUUGGCGUUAAUUUAUCAUUAUUAGGCUUAUAUUCUUUUUUCCAAGGGGUAUUUUUAACGGGUGGUACAUAUUUAAAAAAGGGUCUAUUUUUCUUUUUGUUCGUUGUAUACCUAUGACUUGGUUCUCUUAUAUUAGGCUUCAUUUCUGGUCCUCCAGCAGUAUUCAUUUUUAUGUGAUAUUCUUUUUCAAAAUCUUCUAAGUCACUAAGGUUUAUCUCACUAAAAUUUUCAGUUAAUUCUUCUAAUGUAUCUUCCAUUAGUCUGAAUCACUUGGAGUUGUUUCUUUUAUCUCUAAUUUUUCUUUUCCUUUUUCUUUUUUCUUUAAUUCUGCCUUUAAUUCUUCUGUUUCUUUUAAUAUUUUUGGAUAUUGAGUUUCCAUAAACCAAGUAUCAUAGUUGCCUGUUUGUGGUUUUUGUAUGGGUUUCUUAAAACUUGUUCCAAUUAUUCCUGAUUUUAGUAUUUCAAAUUUUUCUAAUUUUUUAUUUUUCUUUUGACUCAUCUGAAUUAUAGACAUUUCUAUUUUUAUUUUUCCUAUUUCUUGUUUUAUAUCUUUUAUUUCUUCUUUGAGAUUUAAAAGUAUUUCUUUUAAUUCUAUUAAUGUAGUUUCCAUAAAGUCUAAGGGUGUCUAUAGAUAUUUUAAUUUCUUGAUUGUAUGUUACGUUACACGUAACUUAGUUUUGGCCUUUCAUUUAUUAGUUUUUAAUGUUUGCAAUAAUUCCUUCAAAUUAACGUCCCCCCUUUUGGUCUUUUUCCGUCUUAACUCAACUCAUUUGGUGAUGUGUCAUUAGCUCUAUUGAAUGGUAAAAUUUUAUUUACUUAUAUAAGUCCUUAUGUUCUUAUCCUAUUAGUAUAACCUUUGAGUCUCAAUUAUUAUUGGACUCAAUUUGCCUUCCAAUUAAACUGGAUAAGAGUAAAUUUUGAAAUACAAGUGUGCAACCCAAGAGGAGGGGGGGAGUGAAUUGGGAUUUUAAAAAUUAUUUGAUUCUAAAACAAAUUAUCAUGCAAAUCUAAAAUGAAUUUAAUGGAAUAAAAAUUAAAUCAAUUAUAAUAUAAAAAGAUAAGGGAAGAGAGAUUCAAACACGAAGAUUUUUAUGUGGUUCAGCCAACAUCACCUACGUCUACGCCUCCAAGUUUUCCGGGCUUGAGGAUUUCACUAAGCAAACCUCAAAGGCUUCAAAUGCUUACACUUGACUUCCAAGGUGUCAAUGAACCUUUACAACAAGAGAUUAUCUCCAAUUUCUUAACUUAAGUGUAUUCCAACACUUACAAUCACUCAAAGUAAAAGAUUAAAAAUUAUUUUUCUCUCACACAAUAUUUAAUAUUACAAAUCAAUGCCCAAUGUGUGAAUAAAUGAAGCAAGAAUGUGUUUUAAAGCUCUAUGAAGAUUGUAUUCUCGAAUAUAAGCUCAAUGGUCGUGUUGUGAUCAAUCUUGUUUGAAUUUGAAUGAGCUUAUUUAUAGUUGGAGCUGAAAAACUAGCCGUUAUAGACUGUCUGCUCGUAAACGGUUGCCUUCUCAGCAUUUUGUGUUUUUCGUUUCUGUUAACCAGUUAGAGCUUAAGCAAUUCGUUACUCUCUUGAUUUAAUCGGUUAGCCGUUAAAAAUAAACGGUUCACCGUUUAUUUACAGAAUCAUAGUUUUAGCCAGAUAUUGCAGAGAAUCAUUUUUUAAUUUCAACUUUAACAAUUACCCAACUUUUAUAAAUAUAAUUGAAAUGAUUAUAAGGCUUUCGUUUAUUAAUGAAUAGGUCCAACAUUUUAAUAAAAAAUAUUUAAAGUUUGUUAUCGUCAAAAUCAAUAUUAUUAACAUAUACAUGUUAACAUUCUCCCUCUUUUUAAUGAUGACAAAUUUCAUUCAAUAUUUUGCUCUCCCUUAAUAUAUGCUCCCCCUAAAUGUAUGGCCAAUUGUAAAAAAAUAUCCAAUAAACAGAUUUUUGCUCAAGGAAACGUUUUGAAAAAGAAUUCAUUUCAAAAAGCGUUUUAAAAGUAAAAUGCAUUUUAAAAGUGAAUUUUAUUUUUAUUUCAUUAUCUCCCCCUUUAUCAAUAUACACAAAAUGCAGGAGCAUAACAUGAUCUCUCCACCUUCAUCAUCAAAAAGAAAAGAGGGAAAAGAAAUCUGUAAAGUAUAGAGGUGAGAAAGAAGUUACCCAACUUUGGCGAGCAAAAAAAAAUUGGCAGAGUUUCCCCUUAAAAUGGAACAAAUCCACUAAUACAAAAUGAGAUUAAAAACACUUCCAAAUAUAUUAACAAUAACUUCAUCAUCCAAUAGACCAACAAAUCCAUCAUCUAAUAUCAAAUCAGCCAACAUCAAAUCAUCCAACAUCAAGAACAUCACAAAAACAAUCCAUCAUCAAAAUCAUAGAGAAGUAGCAAUGUAUACCCAAAUAUAAAUAGCAACAAACAAACAAACAAAACAUGAAAUGUAUGUGCAAAGAUGAGACUCAGAAACUAUGAAGGUGGUGAAGAUGUGCUCCCUGGAUCAUAACCGAAAUAACGAAGAAGAGUGCGCUGUCCAGCUAUAAGUUCAAGCUGCUGAUCAAUGCUCUGCUGCUGGAAGGUCUGAAACUCCGAACGAAGCUGCUGAUGGUCGUGGGAGAAGGUGUCCCAUCUAUCGAUAAUCAGCUGCUGCCUCUCCGAAAUCCGGCGAACAUCAUCCGCCAACUGUUGCAAGGAGGCCGAAGCAGGGGGCUGAACUGAAGCAGGAGGCUACUCGGGAGCUGGAAAUGGCUCAAAAACGGAGGGCCUCUUAGGAACAACAGAGGGCUCGGGAGCAGAAGGCUGUGCUGGAGCUGGAGCUUGAGGUGGCAUCGAAGUGGAUGGAAUAUCAGCAUCCAUCUCACGCUCCUCAGAGUCAGAGUCAGCUAGAGGUUGGAGGACAGAACGGCGACGUAGAGGAGGUGGAUGAGCUCCUAAUCGAAAAUCUGGAAGUUGAUAAGAAGGAUAGAUAUCGUUGAGCAUCCGAUCGUCCUCAGGAGCAAUCAAAGUAUCCCGAUUUUUGGAGUUUUUAGUCUUUAUCCACUUGCCAUUCUUCUAGAAAAAUCGAUACUAGUCAUGUCCUCUGGACCAAUCCGUCUAGUCUCCGUAUAACCGGCAUCUAGAAGAGGCACCUCAAAGCGUCGCAGUAUCUUAGUAAUGAUACUGCCAUAUGGAAGCAAGCGGUGGUUAAUCGCGGGAGUACUCAACAUGUGCCUCACAAUAACAUAGCCGAGGUUAACGAGUCGUCCUGAAAUGAGGCUAUCUAAUAAGCCAACGUCUAACCUCGUAACCUUAUUCGAGUGACCCUUCCUAGGUGUCACUAUAUGCUGUAAAAUUGUGUAAAGUAUGCGAACUUGCAGAGGUAAAAGUUGAGAUUUAAAAGGUAAGUGACAAGUCUCAUAACUCAGAUCUUCACGCUGACAAAUAUUACGAACUCCAUCAUUAUGACAAAAACCAUCAAAGGAAAGAGCUUUCUUAGAUGUACAAAUUUUAUGACCAUCACUAGAUAUACCUAGAAAGCCAUUAAGAUCUUCAUCAUCAAAUUCAAUAUGAACACCGCCAACUUGAGUAACUAUCCUAUCUAGGCGAGUUGCAGAGAUUUCUAUGUUCGAAUAGAAAACUCGCACUUAAUUUGGAUAUACUCGUUCAUCAAAAUCAAUGGCGGACUCCCAAGGUUGAAGUAUAUUUCUAACACUUUUACCACACACAAUUAAGGUUCUAAAGUCUUCUAUGUCAACAUAAAACGAAUCAAGUACCUUUCUGCCAUUGAAGCGGUCCUCGAAACGCUUGGCCAAUGAAGGUGUGGGAAAAUAAAUUCUUGCGAAUUCAGAGACUGCCUGUGGUGGUAUGGGAUUCUGUUGAGGCGUAUCUUUCCUCCUUCGAGUUCUCCGAGAUGACUCAGCCAUGGUAAAGAACAUAGAGAAUGAGGGAUUUUGAGAACAGUGACUUUGGACGAAAAAUAACUGCUGUACCGUACAUCCGCCUUGGCCGUACAGCAGAAUUGAAAUGAUUAUAAGGCUUUCGUUUAUUAAAAGAUUUGAAUCGGUAAAAAUGAUAUAAAGAUGAUGUGAAAAGAUGUUUUAGGUGUGAUUUGGCAAGGAAAUCAAGAAAAAUGGAGGUUUGACGAUAGAGAAAGCUUCGGCUGCGCAACAAUGGCUGAAACAAUAAGAGGGCAAAUGAGAAGAGAGAGGAAACCCUUGGAACAGUUUUUAUGUCGCAAGAAAAUGGUUAACCGUUUAUUUAAACAGUUAGAGAGUAACUUUCCAGAGACUAAUGAAUGGGAAACGGUGAAAGGUUAUCCUUUUAACGGUAAAGGAGUAAUUUUCCAGAGAGCUCUCUGCUUUAAACGGUUUAUCGAUUUCGUCAAACAGUAAAAGGGUAAAAGUCAGACAUCAUGAUCUAGUUUCUGGAAUAAAAAUAGUACACCGUUUAUUGGAAACAGUUAUCCGUUUAUUUCAUCUAUAAUUGCGCACAUUUGAUUUAAUUUUUGGCUUACAAAUAAUACAUUCCAAGAUCAUUUAAUUGAUCCAAAAAUGUUUUAUGAGCCAUUUUGAUUCAUGAACAUGUAUUCAAGCAAUUAAUUCAUAUAAACAUUUAAGAAUUAUCAAAAGCAAACAUAUCACUUGAACAUCAUGCUUAAGCAUUUCAUAAAUAUUAAAUGAUCAAAUUAUCACUAAGUCAAUCAAUUCAAUACACUAAAUAACAUUAAUAGAGAAGUUAAUGCAAAAAUUUCAUCUUCCCAAGUUCAUGCCGAAUUUUCAAAAAUUAUUCUUCGCCAAGGGGUUUGGUAAAAAUAUCGACGAGUUAUUUUUCUGUAAAAAUAAAAUCUAAUGCAAUAUCUCCCUUUUGAACAGGAUCUCUUAAGAAAUGAUGUCUUAUUUCUAUAUGCUUGGUUCGAGAGUGUUAAAUGGGAUUUUUUGAAAGAUUUAUAGUACUAGUAUUAUCACACUUAGUAGGAAUUUGUUCUAGGUUAAUACCAUAGUCUCUAAGUGUUUGUUUCAUCCAAAGAGCUUGCGCACAACAACUUCCUGCAGCUAUAUAUUCAGCAUCGGUAGUUGAAAGUGCAACAUAAUUUUGUUUCUUGCUAAACCAUGAAACAAGUGAGUGACCUAGAAUAUAGCAAGUUCCACUAGUGCUUUUCCUAUCAACUUUAUAACCGGCAAAGUCCGCAUCUGAAUAGCAUAUUAAAUCUAUAUGAGUUCCCCUAGGAUACCAAAGGCCGAGAUCUAUAAUUCCACUUAAAUAGCGAAGGAUUCGUUUUACAGCAAGUAAAUGGGAUUCCUUGGGGCAUGAUUGAAAUCUUGCACACAAACAUACACUAAAUAUGAUAUCGGGUCUACUUGCAGUUAAAUAAAGUAAAGAUCUGAUCAUACCUCGAUACAUUUUGAUAUCCACUUCUUUGCCUUUUUCAUCUUUAUCAAGCUUGGUUGUUGUGCUCAUCAGAGUAUUUUUGGUCUUUGAGUCAUCAAUUCUGAAUCUUUUGAGUAGAUCUUUUACAUACUUGGCUUGAUUUAUGAAAAUUCAUUCCUCAUUUUGUUUUAUUUGCAGCCCAAGGAAGUAUUUCAACUCUCCCAUCAUACUUAUUUCAAAUUCAUUACUCAUGCAAGAUGAAAAUUCUUUACACAACAAUUCAUUAGUAUAACCAAAAAUAAUAUCAUCAACAUAAAUUUGAACAACAAAUAUGUCUUUGUUCUUAUGUUUGACAAAGGGAGUAGUAUCCACUUUACCCAUUAAAAAAUUAUUUUCUAACAAGAAAUUCUUAAGCCUAUCAUACCAUGCUCUAGGUGCUUGUUUUAAGCCAUACAAAUCUUUAAAUAACUUAUAAACAUGAUUUAGAAAUUUUUCAUUUUCAAAACCAAGGGAUUGUUUUACAUACACUUCUUUCAUAAUAUAACCAUUUAAGAAAGUACUUUUCGCAUCCAUUUGAAAUAAAAUGAAAUCUUUAUGACAUGCAAAUGCCAAUAACAUUUUAAUUGAUUCUAGUUUAACUACGAGUGCAAAUGUUUCAUCAAAAUCAAUUCUUUCUUCUUGGUUGUAACCUUGAGUCACUAAUCUAGCUUUAUUCCUUACAACCACACCAGAUUCAUCCAUCUUAUUUCUAAAUACCCAUUUAGUACCUAUGACGGAUUGAUGUUCCGGUUUAGGAACUAAUUCCUAUACAUUAUUUUUUUCAAAUUGAUUUAAUUCCUCUUGCAUUGCCAUAAUCCAAGAUUGAUCAUUUUCCGCAUCCGCAAAUGAUUUGGGUUCAAUUUGAGAAAUAAAUGCAUUAUGCUCACAAGUAUUCUUAAUUGAUGAUCUAGUUGUAACACCUCGUGAGGGAUCUCCUAAAAUUACAUCUUUAGAGCGAGAAGAAACAUACCUCCACUAUUUGGGGAGUGAUUAAGAAGUACCUUCAUUUUGCUCUACAUUCAUUUCUUCAUGUUGCUCAUCUUGAUUCCUAUGAGAUGCAUUCUUUUGGUUAUCUUUUGAUGAUUCUUUUUGUAAGUCUUCAUCUACAUCAUUAUCAACAACAACUUUCUCCGUAGAGGAAGGGUUAGAUUCAUCAAAUGUAACAUGCAUCGAUUCUUCUACAACUAGAGUUCUUUUGUUAUAAACUCUAUAAGUUUUGCUUGAGUUUGAAUAUCCAAGAAAAAUACCCACAUCGGAUUUUAGAUCAAAUUUGCCAAGAUUAUCUUUUGUGUUCAAAAUAAAACAUUUGCAUCCAAAAGCUUUGAAAUAACCACUAUUGGGUUUUCUAUUUUUUCAAAGCUCAUAUGGCGUUUUGUUAAGGUUAGGUUUAAUCAACACACGAUUUAAAACAUAACAAGCAGUGUUAACGGCCUUGGCCCAAAAAUACUUAGGCAAUGAAUUUUCAUUCAAUAUAGUCCUAGCCAUUUCUUGAAUAGAUCUAUUCUUUCUCUCAACAACUCCAUUUUGUUGUGGAGUUCUAGGUGAUGAAAAUUGAUGCUCAAUACCAAAAUCAUUACAAAAAAUCUCAAAUGCAUGAUUUUUAAACUCUCCUCAAUGAUCACUCCUAAUGCAUGCAAUACCAUACCAUUUUGAAUUUUGAAUUUUGAAUUUUCUUACAAAGCACUUUAAAGGCAUCAAUAGCAUCAUCCUUAUUAGCUAAGAAUAAUACCCAUGUAUAUCUAGAAUAAUCAUCCACUAUCACAAAUGCAUAAGAUUUGCUAUUUAGACUAGCAUAUCUAGAGGGCCCAAAUAAAUCUAUGUGAAGAAGUUGAAGUGGUUUUGAGUAGAAAUAUGAUUUUUAUUUUUGAAAGAUGUUUUGAUUUGUUUUCCAAAUUGACAAGCUUCACAAAUCUUCGCUUUUUGAAAACCAAUUUUUGGAAGACCUUUAACUAAAUCAUUUUUCGAAAUUUUUGAAAUCAAAUCCAUAUUUGCAUGUCCUAACCUUCUAUUCCAUAACCAACUAUCAUCAUGCAAUGCCGAAAAGCAUUUAUCAAGAGUAGAUGCACAUUCUAUGUCAAUGAUAUAAACAUUACCAUAUCUAUUCCCAAUAAAUAAGAUCUUGUCAUCACAUAAAUUCUCAAUAACACAACUAAAUUUAUCAAAGAUAACUUUAUAACCUUCGUCACAUAAUUGACUAAUACUAAUUAAGUUGUGUUUCAAGUUCUCAACCAAACAUACAUUCUCAAUUAGAGUUGAGGAAACUUUACCAACAUUUCCAAUUCGAAGACUUUUUCCUUUUGAGUUGUCUCUAAAAGAUACGUCUCUAUCAUUUUUAAUUUUGGUGAAGCUUGAGAACCAUGCAUAGUUUCUGGUCAUGUGCCUUGAACAACCACUGUCCAAGUACCAUUUAUUUUUCUUCUUCUUCAAGCCCUACAAGGAAAAUCUCAAGUUUUAGGUAUCCAAAGCUUUUUGGGUCCUUGAGAGUUAGUAGUGAUUCCUUUUGGAACCCAAAUGCAUUUCAUACUAUAACAUACAUUUCUUUUUACUGGACAUCUAUUUUUUAUAUGACCAUCUUAAUUACAAAAAUGACAUACAAUUUGUUUGUUACUAGAUAUACUCUUCACAAAGUAGUUUUUAUAAUAUUUUUGUUUCAAGUUUGGCUUAUAACCAAUACCUCCUUUGUCAAACACACAUUUUUGUGAAUUAAGCAUGUUAUCCAACAUCUUUUGCCCAUUUGUAAAUUUCAAAACAAUCUCAUUCAACUCAUUGCUAUUUUUCUUAAGCAUUUCAUUUUCAUUUUUCAAAUCAUCUAUGUGUGAUUCUAAAUGCUGAUGCUAGGUUUCUCAUUUGAUAAAUGCAAUUUCAUCAUGCAAUGUUUUGUUCUCUACUUCUAGGCAUAUAAUUCUUGCAUUUAGAGAUUCAUUUUCAUUUUUAAGCUUUGUCAUUUCCUUUUUAAGACAUACAUUCUUUUUACCAAUUUUCAUCAACUCAUUAUGCAAUUCUUUAAAAGCAUCAUACAAUUCAUCAUAGGUGGGAUCACUUACCUCAUUGAGAUCAUCACCAUCUCCUAUUGCCAUAAGCACUAGGUUUGAUAUUUCUUGUGACCCUUCUUCAUCACUUGAAUCUUCCUCGCUAUCAUCCCAAGUUGCAACCAUGGCUUUCUUCUUAAGUUUGUUGAUAAGUGGGCACUCCGAUCUUAUAUGGCUAGGCUUCUUGCAUUCAUUGCAUGUGAUUACCUCUUUCUUCUCCCUUUGGUUCUUGAAGUUUCUGAAUUUUCUUUGCUCUCCGGUUUUCUUGAAGAAUUUUCUGAACCUCCUUGCUAGCAUGGCCAACUCUUUAUCAUCCGGUUCACUCUCCCCAUCACUCUCAUAUUUUGAAGCUUUGAGAGCAAUGCUUUUCUUCUUCUCCUCAUGCCCUUUUUCUGUUGCCAAAUCUUCUUUAUAUGAAAUUAGAGAACCAAUUAAAUCAUCAAGAGGUAAAGUAUUUAAAUCUUUGGCCUCUUCAAUAGCAGUUCUUUUAGGUCUCCAUUCUUUUAGAAGUGACCUAAUAAUUUUCUUAACUUUCUCACUAUUUGAGAAGGUCUUCCCCAAGGCACCUAGAGUGUUCACUAUGUCCGUGAAUCUAGUAUACAUAGAAUACACAUUUGUUAUCCAACAUCUUUUGCCCAUUUGUAAAUUUCAAAACAAUCUCAUUCAACUCAUUGCUAUUUUUCUUAAGCAUUUCAUUUUCAUUUUUCAAAUCAUCUAUGUGUGAUUCUAAAUGCUGAUGCUAGGUUUCUCAUUUGAUAAAUGCAAUUUCAUCAUGCAAUGUUUUGUUCUCUACUUCUAGGCAUAUAAUUCUUGCAUUUAGAGAUUCAUUUUCAUUUUUAAGCUUUGUCAUUUCCUUUUUAAGACAUACAUUCUUUUUACCAAUUUUCAUCAACUCAUUAUGCAAUUCUUUAAAAGCAUCAUACAAUUCAUCAUAGGUGGGAUCACUUACCUCAUUGAGAUCAUCACCAUCUCCUAUUGCCAUAAGCACUAGGUUUGAUAUUUCUUGUGACCCUUCUUCAUCACUUGAAUCUUCCUCGCUAUCAUCCCAAGUUGCAACCAUGGCUUUCUUCUUAAGUUUGUUGAUAAGUGGGCACUCCGAUCUUAUAUGGCUAGGCUUCUUGCAUUCAUUGCAUGUGAUUACCUCUUUCUUCUCCCUUUGGUUCUUGAAGUUUCUGAAUUUUCUUUGCUCUCCGGUUUUCUUGAAGAAUUUUCUGAACCUCCUUGCUAGCAUGGCCAACUCUUUAUCAUCCGGUUCACUCUCCCCAUCACUCUCAUAUUUUGAAGCUUUGAGAGCAAUGCUUUUCUUCUUCUCCUCAUGCCCUUUUUCUGUUGCCAAAUCUUCUUUAUAUGAAAUUAGAGAACCAAUUAAAUCAUCAAGAGGUAAAGUAUUUAAAUCUUUGGCCUCUUCAAUAGCAGUUCUUUUAGGUCUCCAUUCUUUUAGAAGUGACCUAAUGAUUUUUUUUAACUUUCUCGUUAUUUGAAAAGGUCUUUCCUAGGGCUCCUAGGGUGUUUACUAUGUCCGUAAAUCUCGUAUACAUAGAGUACACACUCUCAUUUUAUUCCAUUUGGAACAACUGAUAUUGUCGAGUGUACCUACUAAUUUUCGACUUUUUCACUUGAUUUGUGCCUUCAUAGACUACUUCAAGUUUGUGCCAAAUUUCAUUGGCACUUUAACAACUAGAUACUCGAUGAAAUUCUUUCUUAUCAAGUGCACAAAAUAAAGCAUUCAUAGCUUUGGAAUUUAGAGAAGCUUUUCUCUUUUCCAAUUCAUUCCAUUCUCUUGAAGGUUUUGGAAUAUCUUUCCCUACUUCAUUUUUAGCUAGGGGCAAAAACGAACCAUCACAUACAACUUCCCAAAUUUCAUAAUCUAGUGCUUGUAAAUAAAUUCUUAUCCUAGUUUUUCAAUAUGGGUAGUCAUUUCAGUCAAAGAACGGUAGUCUAGUUGUGGACUGUCUUUCCCUAAAGGUUGAGUCAUUUUGGGUUGCCAUGGAUAUUUUACUCUAGAUGGUUAAGUCCUAACAAGAGAACCAAGCUCCGAUACCAAAUAAAAUAUAAGUGUGUAACCCAAGAGAGGGGGUGAAUUGGGAUUCUAAAAAUUAUUUGAUUCUAUAACAAAUUAUCAUGCAAAUCUAAAAUGAAUUUAAUGGAAUAACAAUUAAAUCAAUUACAGUAUAAAAAGAUAAAGGAAGAGAGAUUUAAACACGAAGAUUUUUACGUGGAUCGGCCAACCUCACCUACGUCUACGCCUUCAAGCUUUCCGGACUUGAGGAUUUCACUAAGCAAACCUCCAAGGCUUCAAAUGCUUACACUUGACUUUCAAGGUGUCAAUGAACCUUUACAAUAAGAGAUUAUCCCCAAUCUCUUAACCCAAGUGUAUCCCGACACUUACAAUCACUCAAACUAAAAGAUUAAAAAUAAUUUUUCUCUCACACAAUAUUUAAGAUUACAAAUCAAUGCCCAAUGUGUGAAUAAAUGAAGUAAGAAUGUGUUUUAAAGCUCUAUGAAGAUUGUAUUCUCGAAUAUAAGCUCAAUGGUCGUGUUGUGAUCAACCUUGUUUGAAUUUAAAUGAGCUUAUUUAUAGUUGGAGCUGAAAAACUAGCCGUUAUAGACUGUCUGCUCGCAAACAGUUCGCUGUUAACCAUUAACGGUUAACCGUUUAGGCUGGUCAAAGUUACCGUUGGGCCAAUUUUCUAAUAAACGGUUUGCUGUUUAGGAUUAUCCUUUCGCCGUUAAAUUCCAGAGACCUGCAAGAUAAACUUCACUAAAAGAUUAAAAAUAAUUUUUCUCUCACACAAUAUUUAAGAUUACAAAUCAAUGCCCAAUGUGUGAAUAAAUGAAGUAAGAAUGUGUUUUAAAGCUCUAUGAAGAUUGUAUUCUCGAAUAUAAGCUCAAUGGUCGUGUUGUGAUCAACCUUGUUUGAAUUUAAAUGAGCUUAUUUAUAGUUGGAGCUGAAAAACUAGCCGUUAUAGACUGUCUGCUCGCAAACAGUUCGCUGUUAACCAUUAACGGUUAACCGUUUAGGCUGGUCAAAGUUACCGUUGGGCCAAUUUUCUAAUAAACGGUUUGCUGUUUAGGAUUAUCCUUUCGCCGUUAAAUUCCAGAGACCUGCAAGAUAAACUUCAGCUAUCCGUUUGCAUUAAAAGGUUAAAGAUUUGCCCGAAAUAACCUCUCUAGAAUUUAUCGGUUAACCGUUUGUAAUAAACGGUUCGCCGUUUGUUUCCAGUAACCUAUAGAACAAGUUAGCCUUAUCCGUUUCAGUUAAACUUUUACCGUUUGUUUUCAGUAACAAGAUGAACACAGUUUUCCAUUCUGGAUUUUAAUCAGUUAACCGUUUCAAUAAACAGUUCACAGUUUAAUUCCAGUUGGCUUCUCAGCAUUUUGUGUUUUCCGUUUUUGUUAACCGGUUAGAGCUUAAGCAAUUCGUUACUCUCUGGAUUUAAUCAGUUAACCGUUAAAAAUAAACGGUUCACCGUUUAUUUCCAGAAUCAUAGUUUUAGCCAGAUAUUACAGAGAAUCAUUUUCCAAUUUCAAGUUUAACAGUUAUCCAACUUUUAUAAAUAUAAUUGAAAUGAUUAUAAGGCUUUCGUUUAUUCAUGAAUAGCUCCAACACUUUAAUCAAAAACAUUUAAAGUUUGUUAUCAUCAAAAUCAAUAUUAUGAACAUAUACAUGUUAACAAAUUUCUUCUCCAUUAAUAUGAGUAGAGCAAAUAUCACUAUGAUAUUAUGUGAGGGUAGAUAUUCAGACUGUGCCAUAUUAGAUGUAUUAAAAAUAAUUCCGAUAAAUUUUUUAUUGUAAAUAUUAAUAAAAUUCUGAUGGCAAUAUAUUAACCUAUUUAAAACUUAUUAAAAAAGCCAAAAUAUAAAUAUAUACCACCCUUAAACACGCAUCAUGAAUUUUCUUUACUCAUGUCUAAUUGAUGAUUUAUCAUGACGCACUAUACAAAUAGAUAAAUUUUUUCAAUUUUUUUUUGAAAAAGCAAUCAAGAUUUUAUUCCAUCAACAUAAGAAAGUACAAACAACUUGAAAUAUUAAAUUUGAUUUUGAUUUCCUCUCACCAAUUCAAUCUAAUUAUUGACAACAAAAUAGACCGGUCUGGAUAUCAAAUUUGAUGUUCAUUAAAGCAUCAGUGAUUAAUGUACAAUUAAAAUAAUGAUUGAUUAUUAGCAAAGAUUGAGUAAAUUAAUUAACGUUUAUGUUAAAUGAAAACCAAUCAUUUUAUUGAUAAACAAAGAUGGUGACUUACUACAAUCCCAUAAUCCAAAUCACAAGCAAGAAAUCCAAAUCACAAGCAAGAAAAAGCUCAAGCCAAUUAAACAAGUGAUAAUAGCAAGGCCUAAAGAAGGUACUAACAUUGCAUACGUUCCCGUAACGAAUGCAAUCACCAUUGCUCCCAUGGCAAAUACGGUGAACCAAAUGGAAGCGUGGAGCAGACCCUGAUUGAAAUCUUUAGUUUUUUCAAUUUUAGGAGCCAUCAAGAAGUGAGUAAAGACGGCAGAAAGAGAAAAGACCAUGGCAAUGGAAUCUGCUACUAUAAAUGCUUGAAAAGCUUUAUUUCUCCUUAGGAUUGCAGUUCCAUUUUCGCUUCUGUAACCGCCAGGAAUGGUGAAAGCUGCUUCGAAGGAUACCGUUGCUAUGAGUGCAGCCACUACCAAAUGUGAUGCUCUCGUAUCCUUGUAAUCUUCUUUAGUAACAUACUUUCGUACUUUUCUUAUGCGUAUAACACCUUUUGAAUAUUGUCCUCUGCCAACAUCUUUGGAUAAUUUUUGGAUUUCUUCCUGUAAUUAAUUUACAUUUGAAUAUUAAUUAAUUGCGUAAAAAAAUAAAAUUUAAUAAUUUAGUUGAAGGAACAAAUUAAAUAAUUACCUUGAGCUCAGUAUAGCCAUAAUUAAAAACGUGUCUGACACUAACAUUUUGUUUGUUGACAGCGUCAUAGUUGGCUUGAGUACUCCUAUUCAUAACAUCAUGGAAUUCUUUUGGUCGGACUGCAGCAAGCACAUGGAGAGGAGUGUUUCCCUCGGCAUCCCCCUCAUCUAUAAGACUCCUCGCUAACGGAUUAUUUUCAAGAAGAUUUCUUAGUUGUCCAACAUGAAAACUAACCAUAGCAUAAUGGAGAAAAUUACAUCCCCUGUUAUCGACCAGCUCGUAACAUUUUGGAUUUCCAGAAAUAAUUCGCUCAACCGUUCGGGCAUCCCCUUUGCCCGCUGCCAAAUGAAGAGCUGUCAUCUUUCGAUCUUUGUCAGCAAUGUUCGAAGCGGAUUGAUCAGUUUCUAAUAACAAAUUUAUCGUCCUGUAAUUUCCAUGAUAUGCAACGUAAUGAAUUGGAGUCCACCCAUAUUGAUCUGUUUCUUUGAUCAGAUUCUUCUUUUUCUCAAGUAAUUUCGGUAAUGCAGUAUCAACUGAGAAUACAGAAGAUAAAUCAAAUAAUAAUGAAAUUUUUAAUAAAAGUAAAUAUUCAGAAAGGGCAUAAAUUUGGGGGGCUAUUUAUGUUGGAGAUAUGAGGAAAAAAAUAGAUUUUUUUUUUUUUUUUUUAAUUCCAAACCAGCCAGAGGUCUAGAACAACACCAACACCAAUCACACAAUGAGUGAUGAAUAAUGGCUUCAGAUCGGUAACUUUGUUAUUUAGCAAAAUAAAAACUUGCAAUCAUUUCCCUGAGUUUGCAUCUAGAAAUCACAAUUUUUGCAAAAUUCACUAAGACACGUUUGAAGCACUAUUCUAAAGACCAAUUUGGUAAAUCUAAUUAUCCUAAAAACCAACUUUCCCUAUCUUAGUUAUCCAAAAGACCAAUUUUCACUAUAUUUACAGUUCUAAAGAUUAAUUUUUUAGGAGCAUUUCACAGUAAAAAAAUUAAUUCCUUCAUAACAGCACUUAAUUUCUUCAUAAAUUAAGAGUAUUUUUGUCAGUAAUAAAAAAAUUAAUUCUCCUAAGAAUAUUUAGUCAUUAACUGGAUUAAGUGAAUUAAGUAAAUUAAGUGGGAGAGAGAACGUGGCGAUCGGCUCAGAGGAGAGAGGAAACAGGUCGGGUCAACCCGUUCACGAAACCUGAAUCGGUGCUUCCGAUUCUGGCCACAUCUCCGGCGAUGGAGGGUAUCAACCGAACUCCCAGACGACGCGGUCAUUCCCCUAUCAUCAUUGUUGCUGGAAAACAGCCUAUGACCAGUCCACAAGCCCGUGUUAAGUCAUGGAGGACGAAAACUCAAAUCGGCGAGUUUUUACCUGAUUUCGAUCAUGUCGUCACCUGGGAUUUGUCGUUUAUGGCAGUCACUUCAAUUUCUGACCAUCAAACAGUGGCCGAUUUGUCGCCGAUCAGCCGUUGAAGUUUCACGGCUGUCGAAACUCGAUCGGGCACCAUGGCUACGCGUCGGAGCACACCGCUGCCACCUUUGGAUUCAGAGCGAGCUGAAGUUCCUGUUUUGACUUAUUUGAUCAUCGCCGCUCGAAUUCCGGUCAUCAUUGACCAGCGAGGGCAUUUUGGUAAUUUAGAAUUUUCAAGGGUAAUUUGGUAAUUUAAAAUUUUGGGAUAUUUUAUUAACUCAUGAAUGAGGAUAUGAUGAUAUCUCAUGAGCGUUUUAUUAUUGGUUUUAGACCGAUGGUGUAAUACACUUUUGUUACUUAAUCACGAUAAAAAAUAUGUAUCUAUUUUACGUGUUUCAAAAGUUUAUUUUGAUAUGUACGGGGUAUGGAUUUAUAUGGUCUGUCCAUGUAUUUAUGCAAUGUGUUGUUAUGUGUCAAAUAUGAUUUAUACACAUAUAUAUGUAUGUGUAAAAAUUUAUUGGCAUUAACAUGAAUAUGCAUUAUGUUUUUCGGAAAAUAAGAAAGUGGAUUCGAGCAAAUUGAUUUUGAAGAAAGAAAGAAAGUUUUUCGAUUUUGCUUAGUUUCUUGAAUUCUUUACUCGCUUAGUGGACACUGUAGAUAUAAUAUUUAAGAGAUAAGUGGGUGAAGGAAGUUUACAUGAAAACCAAAGUUAUAAAUGUUAAGUGAGAGUCUUAUUGAAUAGUAAUUGAAUGAAGGUAAUUGAAGUAAGUGAUUUAAAAGGAAAUGUGAAGUUUGAUCAUGGCAAAAGAAAUUUUAAAGAAUUUGUUUUAUAAUAUUUUUAAAAGACUGGCAUGUUAUCCAUUUGCAUUAUAUAUAAACAAGUAUGUAUUUUCAUAUAUGAAAAAUAAAUUUGCUUAUUGAGAUCAUUAUAAUUUAUUGUGAUUUUCAGAAAUUAUGAUUGAUUCAUGAUGAGUGAGGAGAAAAACCGGAAUUGAGAAUAGUAGUUAAAUAAUUCUCUUUGAGGGUAUAAUUAGAUUUAGUUAAUAAUUCACUAAAUUUAAUAAUUCGCUAAUUUAAUAACUCACUAAAUCUAAUAAUUCACUGAAAGGGUAUCAUUAAACUUACCGGCAAAAGAUCUCAUUGCUGCAGCAUGUAAAGCCGUCUUUCCGUUGGGGCCUUCAUGAGAUACUGAUGUGCUGUUUUCUAACAGGGCAAGCACCAUAUCAAAGGACGCUGAUGUGCGGUUUUCCAAAAGGCCACGCAACAUAUCAGAACGGUUCUCAUACUCAGCAGCCAUGUAGAGUGGCGUUUUGCCGUAAUUAUUUGCAGAAUAUGGAUAACCAGGGUCUUCUCUUGUCAGUAUUUUCACCACGUCCACGUUGCCUUGAGACACUGCCUCGUGGAGUGCUGUAUUCUUCUCGUUAUUCACCAUCCUAAUCAUUUGCCUGAAAGGUUCAACCCCGCUCUCUGGCUCUUCAUCUCCACGUUGAGCUAAUUUUGCUCUUUCAAUAAGAACUCUCACUAUCUCAAAAUGGCCGAAUUUUGCUGCAAGGUGAAGUGGAGUAUCGCCUUUGGCAUUAACUUGUAGUAGCAGUGCUGGGCAUUUCUCAAGUAUUUCUUCUACGAACUUCGUUGACACAUUUUCUCUUUCUGAUGAUAUGAUGUUGAUAUGCAGGAUUGUGUUUUUGGCCUUUGCUGUUAACAAUCUCUCAAUUACAUCUCUUUCCAUGUCUUUGAACGGUUCUGAAUUGCCCGCAGAUGCAGCUUUGAAAAAAUUUAGGUCCAUUUGCUGCUUAAUUUCACCAUUGCUGUCCAAUAAUGGAGCUUCCUCAAUCUCAAUGGAAACAGGAUUCAUGUUGGCGAAGUUGAUCUAUUAGAUAACGGUACCCAGUAUCUCGGAGGUACUCAUAGAUCUUCUUCUAACCUGACAUGUAUGUAUAUAUGACUUGAAAAGUGUAGUAUUUUUCACACUUCUUAAAUUCUUGCUUUUUUGACAAGGUAAGUAUCGACAUUAAUUCUUACUCUUUUGACAAACCAAGAAUUAACAUUUUUAACCUUGAUUUCUUCCUCAUGCUCUUUUAGUUAAAUAAAUAAAUAAAUUGAGAUUAGUCAUUCUCGUUGGCAAACUAAUCAAUUUCUCAAUUGUGUGCUUGUAUGUGUAAUUAAUAAUUAAUUAAACUGUGGCGCAAUAUUUUUAAGAACCCAGACAAAAAUAUAUAUAUACCAAUUAAUUAUUAAAGUUGACCAUGGUUUCUUCUAUUGUUUUGUCCUUAACAUUGCAAAAGUCUGCAUAGCCAUAUCCUCAAUCUUUAAAUACUGCAGCCUUCCUUAUCACAUUUCGAUCGGAUUCCAUAUACAGUUCUGCUCUUUUUGUUUGUUGGGUAAAGAAAGUGACUCUCAAAUGACUGCAAACAAUAAAAUAAUAGGGGAAUACUCUAUGAGUACUUCAUUAAUUCUACAAAAGAAAAGUGAUUCAAUGUUGCCUCUUAGCCUUCUUGUUACUUAUUAAAUCACUUCUUAAAAUGAUACUACAUGGAAUGUGUCAUUCAUGUAUUAAUUAUCGACAUUUAUAUGUUUUAUUUGACAGAAAAAUAUCUAAGAGUAUGGUUGGUGCAUUGUAUUACGGGAUAUUAAAAUACUAUUUACAUUAAAUUAAUGAUAAGACUAUGUUUGAAAAAACGAGAAUGGGUUAAAGGGCUGUGCAUUAGCUUACUUUUUUUUUUUGUUGCUUUUGCUUUUGCUUUUGCUUUUGACUUUUCUUUUAACUUUUGCUUUUACUUUAUAAUAAUAAUAAUAAUAAUAAUAAUAAUAAUAACUACUUUUUAAUUUAAUACAAUAUCAUCUAAUUUUUAUUUUUAUUUUUAUUUUUACAUUAUAAUUAUUAAUAUAAAUUAAUAAAUAUAUAAUUUAUUAUAACUAAUAAUAAAUAUGAAUAAUAUUAAUUUAAAAUUAAUAAUAAUAUAAAAUAUUAAAACAAUUUAAAUAUAUUAAUAUAAUAUAAAAUAUUAGUAUAAUGUAAUAUUUAAUUUAAAUUAAUCACAAAACAAAUCGAUACAGUGCAGUAUGACACCAAACAUUGUACAACAUUAAUCAAUACAGUACAGUAUAACACCAAAUAUUAUACAAUAUUUUUAUAAUACGGUACUAAUACAAUACAACAUAAUACAAUACAUUAGUAUUAAAAUAAUAAAAUACAACAUAAUACAAUAUAAUGUACUAAACGCACCCUAAGUGAUUUAUUAAUUAAUUAACUAUUAUUUAUGUAUAUGGAGAUUCUUUACCUUUUUUUUAAUCAAUUAACUAUUAUUUAUGUAUAUGGAGAUUCUUUACCUUAGUUUAACAUAUGUCGUUAUUCUUCCACGAACCUUUAAUUGAUUUACACGAGUAUCACAAUGGUUCCACUGGAACAAUCUUAUUAUGCAGUUCCCAUUCGACAACUUCAAAGUGUUACAAUUGUUUAGUUUAUACAAAAUGUAUUUACACACUCAGUCUCAAGUCCACUAAGGCCGCGAGUUCAAAGUUACAUCUCUUCCUAUACCCUUGAAAGGUUCAGUAUUUUAACAUUGAAAUCAUGGUCCAUUUGUUAGAAAUAUGAGUCAAUAUAGUUUCAUUAAAAGCCUAAAUCAGCCAGAACAGCUGUACACAAUGGCGUUGAACAAUCACUUGAAUACAGUAACUUUAUUAUCUAAAUGCUACACUUUUAUGUGGAGGAGAAUAGAGUUUUUGUGCAUCUAUCUGUUGACUUUUUGCACACGACAUGUUUUUUAGUUAACGUUUGUUUACUCUUUUAAUUGGCAAGAGAAAUGUUAAAUCAAUCAUGGGGUGACAGACCGCUGAGAAAAACAAAGGCAAAACGAUGAAGUUUUUUCAAUGGGGAAAAAAUUACUAACUCAAUCCCUAGGGUCGAGUAUUAACUAGCUCCACUCGCCCGACAACGGACAAAAUACAACCCUUGAAAAUUGGAACUCCAGGAUAAACAAAAGGAAAAGAGCCUUCGGAGAAGCCUAAGAAAUCACUGACAGUAUUUUUUCGAGAAGCAGCUGCCUUGACCUGAAAAAAAAUGUUAAAUCUUCUUUUUCUCUAAGUUAAUUUUUUGGGAAAAAGACAAACACACCCCCAACGUUUAGACAAAGGGACAAAAACUCCCUUGACGUUUUGAAAAAGAUAUUUACACCCUCAUUUACUGACAGAAACAAUAACUUUUAAUGGAAAUAGUAAUUUUAAUAUAUAAUUACCGUUAUACCCUUCUAACACAUAAAAAAAUAAUUGUUAAUUGUCCAAUUUAUCCAUAUAUUAUUAAUAAAAUUAUAAAUAUACCCCCAUUGCCCAAUUCCUCUAUUUAAAUUUUUAUCAAAUUCUCUCUUUAAACCAAAUAAAUUUAAUCCAUUACUCAAGAAUAAAAAUAAAUAAAAUUAGUUAUUAAUGCCAUAAGAAUAACAAUUCUCUAGGCCAUCCUAGGUUGAAAUCAUAAUCUGAUAAUUUGGGAUAAAAUUUAUACUAAUAAACAUUUUUUUUUUUAAUUAGCUAGUGACAAGUUGAAAUUUUUUUUUAUUUUAAUUUUAAGUUGGUGUAUACUAAAGAAAUCUUAAAACAAAAAAAUGAAAUAUUAUCAAUAUGGCUUUAGCCUAAGAAUAUUUAAAAAAUUCUACUAUCCUCGAUUCCCAUCCAAGAAAACGAAGAAUCCACGGAAUGCAUUUAACAAUGAAAUUUUUAUAUUUAAUUUCUUCCAAAAUUGCAAAUUUAUUCAUUACUAACUCUCUUUUUUAAUUAAGAUUUGCUUAAAUUCAUAUAAAUUUCAAGACAUAAAGAUUGCCUUUAAGGAGGCUAACCAAAAAAAAAAAAAAGCGGUAAGUAAGAAACCGUUUAUGAAUAAUAUCUUUAUUUUAUGAAAAAAAAAACAAUUUUCUUUUUAGAAAGACCAGCUCAGCCUGAACAACAACACCCAUCAAAAACCUCAACGGUGAUGAACAAUAGCUUGACAAUAGAAUUCUUUGUUAUUUAAAAAAAAAAGUUACAAUCAUAACCUUGUGGCUGCAGCCGGAAAACCAAAUAGUUGCUUCCUACAACGAAGAAUUUGUUAUCGGACCAACAAAUACGAACUCAGAGAAAAAUCCUCAAGGCGGGUGCAAAGCAUUGUCCUAAAGGGUAAUUUUCACUAUACUACAACAUCGGACGCUGUCAUAUCUUUGUAAUCAUAUUUAGGAUCGUCAAGAUAAUCUUUUGACCAGGCAGGGUUAGAUUAUGAAUUUAUCGUAUUUAUCUGUGUGAACAUAACAAAAAAAAAAAAACAAUUCAAAAGACAUUGCAACAUCAAGAAACUUGCUCAAAAGAAAGUUGGUAAAAAGACAAAUUACUAUUUUAAUAUUGAAUUUUAAAGGGUCCAAACCAGAAUAACUUAACUAUAAAUAUAUUUAAGUUAUUUUAAUAAAGAUUGAUUUAAGGACACGAAAGAAAAAGAUUUAAAAAUAAAAAUACCAUAAAAUUUAAGGGAUAUUGAAUUAUUUUUUGGGCUAACCCGGUCGAGCCACUACUCCACGUGCCAUUGCAUUUGGAUCUGGUCUUAGCAAUUUAGCACUGUCGUCAUGAAUAUAGCACCAUCUUGAUAUUGUCCUCCGCCAACAUCUUUGGAAAAUUCUUCCUCCUGUAAAUUGAGUGUGAAUAUGAAUUAAUUGCAUAAACUAAAAAAAAAAAUAAUAAUAAAGUAAUGAAAAAGAAAGCUGGAUUUAUAAGUUGAAAGAAUUAACAAAUUAAUUACCUUGAGCUCAGGAUAGGAUAGCCAUAUUUCAAAAUGUGUCUAACACUAACAUUUUGCCUAUUGACAGUGUGAUAGUUAGUUCGAGUCUUCCUAAUCAUAUAGAGUUCUCCUUGGCAUCCCCCUCAUUUAUAAGACUCCUCGCUAACGGAUAUUUUAGUUGAGUUUUUAAAUCAUUAAAAAAAAAAUGACUAUUCCAUAAUGAAAAAAGUUCCAUCCCCUGUUAUCGACCAGUUCAUAACAUUCUGGUGUAAGGGAAAGAAUUCUUUCAACUGUUCUGGCAUGCCCUCGGCCCUUUGCCGAAUGAAGAGAUGAAGUUUUUUCAAUGGGGAAAAAAUUACUAACUCAAUCCCUAGGGUCGAGUAUUAACUAGCUCCACUCGCCCGACAACGGACAAAAUACAACCCUUGAAAAUUGGAACUCCAGGAUAAACAAAAGGAAAAGAGCCUUCGGAGAAGCCUAAGAAAUCACUGACAGUAUUUUUUCGAGAAGCAGCUGCCUUGACCUGAAAAAAAAUGUUAAAUCUUCUUUUUCUCUAAGUUAAUUUUUUGGGAAAAAGACAAACACACCCCCAACGUUUAGACAAAGGGACAAAAACUCCCUUGACGUUUUGAAAAAGAUAUUUACACCCUCAUUUACUGACAGAAACAAUAACUUUUAAUGGAAAUAGUAAUUUUAAUAUAUAAUUACCGUUAUACCCUUCUAACACAUAAAAAAAUAAUUGUUAAUUGUCCAAUUUAUCCAUAUAUUAUUAAUAAAAUUAUAAAUAUACCCCCAUUGCCCAAUUCCUCUAUUUAAAUUUUUAUCAAAUUCUCUCUUUAAACCAAAUAAAUUUAAUCCAUUACUCAAGAAUAAAAAUAAAUAAAAUUAGUUAUUAAUGCCAUAAGAAUAACAAUUCUCUAAUCUUAUCUUAAUUGUAUUAAAUAACAUAUCCUAUAGACAUAAAAAUUGAUAAAAUAAAUAAAAUUAGUUAUUAAUGCCAUAAGAAUAACAAUUCUCUACAUGUCAAUCAUUUAAACUUGUAUAAUCAACAAAAUAAAAAAAAAGGCUGGUUACAACAAUAAUUACAAAAAUCUUAUCUUAAUUGUAUUAAGUAACAUAUCCAAUAGACAUAAAAAUUGAUAAUAGAUUAAAUUUAUUUUGCUUGAAGAGAUAAUUUGAUAAAAAUUUAAAGAGAGGAAUUAGGUAAUGAAGGUAUAUUUGUAAUUUUAUUAAUAAUAUAUAAACAAAUUGGACAAUUAAUAAUUUUUUUUAUGUGCUAGAAGGGUAUAAUGGUAAUUAUAUAUUAAAAUUACUAUUUCUAUUAAAAGUAACUAUUUCCGUUAGUGAAUGAGGGUGUAAAUAUCUUUUACGAAAUGUUGGGGAAUUUUUAUCCUUUUACCUAAACAUUGAGGGUGUGUUAGUCAUUUUCUCUAAUUUUUUUAAUGUAUCAACUGAUACAAAAAAAAUAAGUCUCACAAUUAUGAAGCGUAUUCAUAUUAAUAAAUAUACAGAAAGGCACAAAUUUGUUGGGCCAUUUACGUUGGAAAUUUGAGACAAAAUAACUUUUUUGAAAGACCAGCUCAGCCUGAACAACAACACCCAUCAAAAGCCUCAACGGUGAUGAACAAUAGCUUGACAACAAUAUUCUUUCUCAUUUAAAAAAAAAAGUUACAAUCAUAACCUUGUGGCUGCAGCUUAGAUCUCGAUUUAUCAGAAUCACUCUCUAUGUUAAUGACACAUGAGGGAAUGUUAGAACAACAAGCUUUAGCUGAACUAUGGAUGCAAAUCUGGCGUUUGCUGCAAAUUUUGUUCAGUAAGGGAACAAUAAUAAGAAAGGUUUUGGAACAUACAACUCAAGAUCUGGUUUCAAUCAAGAUGCAUCAAGAUCUGAAAAUUCUGGAUACAUGAUGCAAGGAAAUUUUAGAGGGAAUCAAGGUGGAAAUUUCUAUCGAGGAAGGAAAGGUGGAAGAGGAAAUAACAUGCAUGGAGGAAGAUCUUGGAAUCAAGGUGAGAGAACUCAAAUGCCUGGUCAUGUGCCUGGUCAUUUUUCACAGCCAUAUCAACCUAGAUGCCAAGUGUGCUUCAUCAUAGGACACACUGCUGCUACCUGCAAGGAUAGGUUCAACAAGGAUUUCAUUCCAGUCAUAAGGUAUCCACAUCAGAAUCAAGUUUUCAAUCAAGGCUACGGUCAAAGAAAUAUGUCAGCUUAUAUGGCAACACCAGAAGCAGUAAUGGAUGAUGACUAGUACCUGGAUAGUGGAGCAACUCACCACCUAAUCAAUGAUCUCAAUAAUCUCAGCAUCAGUGAGCCUUAUGAAGGUAAUGAAAAGCUUUUAAUUGGUAAUGGACAUGGCCUUACUAUUUCUCAUAUAGGAAGCACUCAUUUAGCAGUUGGAAAUCAUAGAUUAUUGCUCAAAAAUCUUUUAUUUGUGCCACACAUCACCAAAAAUCUUUUAAGCAUUUCUAAGCUCACUUCUGAUAAUUCCUUGAUCAUUGAAUUUUAUGGAAAUACUUGCUUUCUCAAGGACAAGAAGAAGAGGACAGUAUUGCUGGAGGGUGUAGCUAUGAAGGGUCUGUAUAAGCUGAAACUUGAGCCUGGAAGUAAAACUCAUCAAGCUUUAUUUUCAACUGUAAAUAAAGAGUCAUGUUUUGUUCCUAUGUCUAUGGUGCCACAUUGCUCAGAUGGUUUGCAGUCUUGUUCUUUUUCAAAUAUUCAAGCUAAAGUUGUUCAACACUCCUCUCAACAGUGUCUGUUGUCUCAUUCCAGUAGAGUUUCCAGUACUUCAAUAAAUAUCCUACAUAGGCAACUUGGUCAUCCUAGUUCAAAAGUCUUGAAACAUGUACUCACCAGUUGUAAACAUUUGCAGUUAAGCAAUAAAAUUCAAAUUCCUGAUUUUUGUGAUGCCUGCCAAUAUGGCAAAGUUCAUAAACUGCAUUUUGGAGCAACUGAACACAAAACAACCUCACCUCUAGAACUCAUCCAUACUGACUUAUGGGGUCCAGCACCCAUUACUUCUCUCAAUGGUUAUAGAUACUAUAUCAGUUUCAUUGAUGAUUAUAGUAGAUAUGCCUGGGUUUAUCCUUUGAAAACCAAGUCUCAAGCUUUAUCUGUUUUUGCCAUUUUUCGAACUCAAGUUGAAAAACAAUUUGAAACAGUCAUUAAGGUCCUACAGUCAGAUUGGGGGGGGGGGGGGAAUAGUCAGAUUGGGGGGGGGGGUGAAUUCAGAUCCUUUGUGAAUUAUCUUAAAAAACAUGGCAUUUUAUUCAGACAUUCAUGUCCUCACACACAUCACCAGAAUGGGACAGCAGAGAGGAAACAUAGACAUCUUGUUGAGAUGGGUUUGACUCUUCUUGUACAAGCUAAAUUGCCUCUCAGUUUCUGGUGGGAAGCAUUCUCAACUUCUGCUUUUCUCAUCAAUCGAUUGGCAACUUCUGUUCUACCAUCAAAUAAAUCUCCCUAUGAGAUUCUUUUCAAACACAAGCAUGACUAUGAUUUUCUAAAGUGUUUUGGCUGUUCCUGUUUUCCAUACUUGAGAUUCUAUAACAAACACAAAUUCAACUAUCACACUACAAAAUGUUUGUUUAUUGGUUAUAGCUCAUAUCACAAAGGGUAUAAAUGCCUAAGCUCAAAAGGUGUUGUAUAUGUUGUUAGGCAUGUUGUGUUUAAUGAGUCAGAAUUUCCUUUCUCUACUGACUCUCUUUUCUCUAAACAACCUUCUUCCUCUGCUUCUGAAUAUAGAUAUCCUAUGUUUAAGGUAUCUUCAGUGUCAGUUCCACUUCAUGACCCUUCAGGCUCAAGUAACACCAUUAUACAACCAUUUCAGUUGCCUGCAGCUUCAGCUUCUUCCUCCUCAUCUAGUUCUUUAUCACCUUCUUCUCAACCAUUUCAACCAUCUCAAUCAAAUCAUCCACCCUCCCACACCUCUCCUUAUGUAUCCCAAAACACUUCAAAUCAACAACCAUCCUCUACUCAAGUUUCACUGCCAAAUCACCCAAUGAUUACAAGAGCCAAAGCAGGUGUAUUUAAGCCAAAAUUUCAUGCCUAUUCCUCUGUUCUUGGAGAACAAGAGCCUUCCACAGUUUCUCAAGCUCUUUCAGAUUCCAAAUGGAAAGCAGCCAUGCAGGCAGAGUAUAAUGCACUUAUGGAAAAUAAGACUUGGAUUCUUGUACCAGCUUCUCAAGCUACUAAAAUUGUUGGGUGUAAAUGGGUUUUUCGCAUUAAGUAUAAUGCAGAUGGUUCUGUUUCUAAGUAUAAAGCACGGCUGGUGGCAAAAGGGUUUCAUCAAACACCUGAUAUUGACUACUUUGAGACCUUUAGUCCAGUAGUUAAAUAGUCAACUGUGAGAAUUAUCCUUAGUCUUGCUGUGAUGAAGGGCUGGAAAAUAAGACAAAUCGACAUCAACAAUGCUUUCCUUAAUGGAGAGCUCAAUGAAGAUGUCUACAUGUUUCAACCUGAGGGUUUUGUUCAGUCUCCAUCUGGUCAUGUUUGUCAGUUGCAUAAGGCUCUUUACGGUUUGAAACAGGCUCCUAGAGCCUGGUUUGACAGGCUAAGGAAAGCACUGUUGCAGUGGGGGUUUCAGAACUCCAAAGCAGACUCAUCUUUGUUCAUCAAACAUGAACUUGGAGGUAUUGUGGCUGUGUUAGUAUAUGUAGAUGAUAUAUUAAUUACUGGUGAUAACAAUACAGUAAUUGAAACAUUUAUCCAAUACCUUGGAGAUACCUUUGCUUUAAAAGAUCUUGGUGAGUUCAGUUACUUCCUUGGUAUUGAGGUUACACAUGAUGCAAAGGGUAGCUUACAUCUUUCACAGGCAAAAUAUGUAAGAGAUUUGCUUACAAGAACUGAUAUGGAAAAUUGUAGAGAAAGUGAUACUCCAAUGAGUACAGGACAGAAACUAAGAAGAGCAGGGAAUGAUGAUAACUUGAUUUUUAAUGUCACUGAGUAUAGAAGCAUAAUAGGUGCUUUACAGUAUUUGGUACUUACAAGACCAGAACUUGCCUUUUCAGUUAAUAAGUUGAGCCAAUUUCUUGCUGCACCAACUGAGAAACACUGGGUUGCUUGUAAGAAAAUUCUAAGAUACUUAAAGGCAACUGAAGAUUAUGGAUUGAUGUUUAAAGCAGGAGAUGGAAUUAGUCUGACAGCAUAUACAGAUGCAGAUUGGGCGUGUGAUGUGGAUGACAGAAAGUCAGUUGGAGCAUAUUGUGUAUAUCUUGGGCAGAAUCUGGUUUCAUGGUCCUCCAAGAAGCAACAAACUGUAGCAAGGUCUAGCAUAGAGUCAGAGUAUAGAGCAUUGUCAACAGCUUGUGCAGAAAUUGUUUGGAUUCAAGCUUUACUUGGAGAGCUUAAACUGAAGUGUAGCCAAAUACCAAUAAUCUGGUGUGACAACAAUGGUGUAGCUGCACUAGCAACAAAUCCAGUAUAUCAUGCCAAAACCAAGCACAUAGAGUUGGAUGUGCAUUUCAUAAGGGAAAAGGUAACGGGCAAACAAGUGGAGAUCAAGUAUGUACCAAGUGAGUGGAAUAUUGCAGAUGUGCUUACAAAGCCUAUGGCUUACUCUUUUUUUAAUUACUAUAGAGACAAGCUUAAUGUUGUUCCACAACCAUUAAGCUUGAGAAGGGGUGUUGAGAUGCUUAAUCAACAGCAGCAUAUCAAUGGCUGAGAUUCACUUGACUAGGAUUGAUGAGCUGGAUAGCUGAGUUGGACAAAUUAGUUAGAUUGUUAUUGUUUAGCUUAGCUUAACCAAUAGUUAUUUGACAGCUGUUACAGAGGUUGUUACUUCUGUUAAUCAGCAAUAUAAGUUGAUGAAAGCUUGAAUGUAAGUGUGUGAUUCGAGAUUAAUAAAAUUCUCUUAUUCAGUUUGUUUUUCUUUCUUCCUUCGUCACUUUCCUGCUAGCCAAACAGAUUGUAUGCUUAAGGUUUGUGAAUUCUAACUGCUAUAUUAAAAUGGCCGAAUUUUGCCGCAACGUGAAGUGGAGUAUCACCUUUGCCAUUAACUUGUGUUUGUAGUGAUGGGCAUAUCUCAAGUAUUUCCCCUACGAACUUGAUUGACGCAUUUUCUGUUCAUUGGCAUAUGAUGUUGCUAUGCAGGAUCGUGUUCCUGGCCGGUACUGUUAAUAAGCUCUCAAAUAUUUCUCUUGCCAUAUCUUUGUAGGAUUCAGCAUUGCCAUCAGCUGGAAACUCAAGUAAAUUAUCCGUACUCAGUUACUCUUCAAAGUAGAAGCAUGACCGAUUAAGUUACCUGGAGAACUGAAAAUAAAAAAUAAAAAAAGGUAGAUAUUCUUUCCGGUUAGGUUUCAAAUAAAGCAGAGAAAAUAAUUGAAGUUAAGUUAAAAAAAAAANNNNNNNNNNNNNGAGAAUACUCAGACGAAUUCAAGUUGGUCAAGAAAGCCAAGUCGAGUAGUAAAUUGAGUCAAACAAUAAGUCGAGUAUUCAUAUAAUGCUCCUGGUGGACAAGAAAUCCUGUAAGCUGGAUUUAGAUCCAGUACUGAGCUUAGCUGUGCUCAUCUCUUCGUAAACAUCUACCACACAUGCAUGGAUAACAAUUUAAGAUGAAUAUUUAAUUAAUUUUAUAUUCUUAUCUUUCUAAAAGAUUAACAAAAACCUCAGCUCAGCGCUGAAUACAAAUUCCUGUAAACUAGGAACAUAAAACUCGAUGAUCACAUGAAAAGCUUAAAUUCAAAUUCAAUUGUAUUCAUGAUAUGAUUAUUUCAAACAACCAAAAAUACUUAAAACAAAAACCCAAUUGUGAAACUAAAAAAAAACCCAAUUCUCAUAUUCUCCGAAGAAAACACUAAAUUAAUUAAUUAAUUUUAAAAAAGGAAACAAACCUAAAUUCAGGUACCAGGCAAAAAGAUUGGGGAAGAAAAAAGAAUAGGAAAGGAAAUGAACCUUGGGAGUCCAAAGCGUGUCGCUUGAAGCAACGCCGUUCCAAGCACGGGAUACAAGGAGAGUCGGUGCUACGCUGCGUGCCUUUAGGUUUUGAAGUAUCUUCAACAUUAUGUCUCCACCAAAAGCCUCCAGUGGAUCCUGCAAUAAUUCUUCAGUUUCUUCUUCUUUGAGUUGUUCUUUUCUUUCCUCUCGAUUUCUCUUCUUUCACAGUUUCAUCUUCGUCUUCUUCUUCUUCAGUAAAACGACAUCGUUUUCCUGUUCUUCUAUUUCUCGCAGUUCCAUUCUGCGUGGUAGUAGCUAUUACUACAGAGCAAGCGAAUGAAAGGAAUCACCCGAAGCCGCAAUUGCAAUAACUCCAAAAAACAUCAAAAUAUAAAAAUAAGUUAAUGCUAAAAUGCCCAUAUUUAAUUUUUAAAAAAAAUUAUUUACUGUAUGUAGAAAUAUACAAUCGAUAAAUUUACUAUUUUUUAAAUAUAAUAAAUUUUACGUGGCUCAAACUCAUUCUCUUGUAGAUAUUAUUGAACUACAAGCCUUUAAGUUAAAAUGCUAAUACUUUUGAAUUAUUAUUUUACUCGAUUUUUUUAUAUCACUUGAUUUAUUAUUCAACUUUGUUAUGAAGAUUGGGGUCCAACUGUGUUACUACGGUCGUAACAUACCACAUUCUUUUGUCUUUUCCUAAUCCACCGUUAGAUUUAAUUCAGACCAAGGGUAAUGGCUAAGAUGUUUUUGUUGGGUUAUUAAUGUUAUACUCCCUAAUGUUUGCUACAAAAUUACAAAAGUAACAAAGUUUAAAAUAUUAACACAUAAGUCCAUAAAUUUACAAUUUAUUAUUCAAUAAUAUUAAAACAUUUUAAUUAUAUUAUUAAAUAUUAUAUAAAAAAUUAUAACAUAAUAUAAUAUUAUUUAAUUAUAUUAUAAUAAUUAAUAAAUAAAAUUGAUUAUUAUUUAAAAAUUUAAUAUAACUAACAAUAAAUACUUAAAUAAUAUAUAAAGAUCUGCUGUACGGCCAAAAUAAAAUUGAUUAUUAUUUAAAAAUUUAGUAUAACUAACAAUAAAUACUUAAAUAAUAUAUAAAGAUAAAAAUAUAAUAUAAUACUACAUUAUUUAAUUAUAUUAUAAAAAUUAGUAUAUAAAAAUUAAAUAUUUUUAAAUAUUUAAUAUAAAAAUAAUAAAUUAUUAAAUAUUAAUAAAUUUGAAUAAUAUUAAAUUAAAAUUAAUAGCAAUCUAAAUAAUGAUAUAAAUAUUACAAUUUAAUACACAUUAAUGACACACACUGUAAUAUAAUGCAUCUAAUGCAAUACAAUAUAUUGUGUCAAAUGACCCAGUUAAUUUCACUAAUAAAUUAAUUUAUUCUUAUAUUUGAAUUAAUAUGUUUAAAUUAAUAUUCUUUCUUAUUAAUUAAUUAGUUUAAUAUAUAGUAAAACCAUGUAUUAGUUACAAACAAUAUUUUAUGAUAAAUAUGAGUAUGAAUUUGAUCUCUUGUUCUUAAUUUGUAGUUAAUAUUUUUUUCAUAAUACUUAUUCAAUAUAUAGUAAAUAAUUUCAAUAUGCAAUAAAAAUAUAUUAAUCUACCAAUUAAUAAUUUUUUAUUGUUUAAUAAGAAGGUAUCAAAAAGUGUGAGGGAGGGUGGCAACUUUCUUGUCGUUUAUUCUUACAUCUACGAGCUUGAUAAAUAAGUUUAGAAUCUUUUAAAAGAAUUUGAAGGCAAAGUCAUUUUAUACUCCACAUGUAUUUGAGAACCUUUUUUCACAUCUCAUGGUCGAUAAUUUUGAGUUAGUGAUAAAAUUUAGUUGCUAAUUGCUAGAGAUAUGGAAUUGAAACUAGUGGGCAUGUAAAUAAUUCAAUCAUUUUUUAUAUCAUUUUAAUUAAUUAAUUUAGUAAAAAUAUAAAAUUAGUUUUAUCAAGGAUAUAUUUGACAUUUAAGUAGGUGUAUGGAGUAAAUUUUCUUUUUAAAACUUUGAUGAUGGUGUGUGAAUUAAUAAUUAAAAAAUACCCUCACAUUUUGAUUUAAGUUUCAAAAAAUCAAAACAAGUAGGACUAAUGAGUCAAAAUUUAAGAUUAUCGGAUUUUUUGUCUAAUUUUAGCAUAAAAUAGGGAUUCUAGUGUAAUUAAUCUAAAAGGACAAAAAAGUGCGGUAUGUUAUCUCUGUGGUAACAUAGUAGUAUCCCUGAAGAUUGAUAAUAAAGUUGAGAAUAUUUUUUUUUAUUUAGGAUAUUUUGGCCUUUUUAGAGUAUGAUUAUGUAAUAUGAGACAGUCGGGGUGUUAUUGAUCUUUUAAAAGAAAUAAAUAUAUAUUUUAUUAAAAAAAUUGUGGUGGGAGAUCACGUGGUUCAGGUACUGCUCUGUAAUGAUGAUAGUUAAUAAUAGUCCGAUAAUGCAUUCUUGCCACGCCGAGCUCCAAAACAAAAUCAUCCUUCAAUUGAAGGACGAAAAUCGGGCGUUUGGGCUCUGACUCAAAUAUGUGGCAAGAUGCUGAGUGAUUGCUUGGAAAAACAGCAAGUCGAUGACUUUGUUGUUUAUAGAGUCUGAAACGUAGCAAAUGGGGAGCAUCCACGCGUUGCAGGAGAGAGGAAAAGUUAGCUGAUACAAGAUCAAUUUGUACUGAGCUGUUACAUACAGUCUGUAACGUAGCUUGUCUGCUCCAAAUAACAUCAAAAUAUUAAAAAGUACGUUAAUACUAUAAUGCCCCUAUUUAAUUUUUAUAAAAAACUGUUUACAAUAACCAAAAAAUAUACUAUCUGAAAUUUGAAAAAUUCUAUGAUACUAUGAUUAAAAUUACGACAUUAUUAUCAUGAUAAAUAUAAGUUUUGUAAAUUACAUAUAAAAUUAUUAAAUAAAAGAUAAAAUUAGUAUAUUAAUAUAUAAGUGGUAAAUUAGUGUUUUCAAAUUACAAACAAAACAAACACUUAUAAAAUAACAUAAAACUUUGAAAUCAAUAUUAAUCUUUCAUUAAAUAAAAUUAGCUUAUUUAUUUAACUUAAUUAAAUAAAGAACAAAGUGAGUCAUCAAUUAAAAAAAAUUGUAUUGAAAACAAUUAGAAUAAGUUUUAUUGAAUUGAUUUAACUAUAAAUUCUAGAUUCAUUCUAUGACAUUCAUUAUUUUUUUUUAUUUUUUAUCAUAGUAUUGUUUACUACAGAGGUUAAUUAAACAAAUUAUUUUUCUUGAAUGCAUUAAGUCAAAACAAAAUAAAAAGAUAUAUAUAUAUAUAUAUUAUCAAUAAAAUUGUAUCUAAUUUUAUGUUUUAUAUAUAUUUUAUGUAAUUUUAAACUUUGCUUCUUACUUGUAUUUAAAGAUCAUUUGUGGUUGCUAUCAAGAAGAUUUAAAAUGAUGAAAAAUCACCUUAUCCUACGAGCAACUUUGAAAAAUAUGAAAAAGAAUAGUUUUUCAAAAUCCAAUUUUAAAAAUAAGUUUUAUCCUUAAUAAAAUUUCACUUAUAUCAUCAUAUGUAUUACAUAAACCCAAAACUAUCAUUAUUCCAUUUAGAAAAAAUAAAUCAAUAAAAAGUAAUCAUUAUUAUAAUGAGGUUGUAUAUUACAUUUUUAAAUUUUUUUAAUAAUUCUUAUAUUAAUUUACAUGUUUUACCUUACAUUUACAAGUCCUAUAUUUUAUUUAUAUAAUUUAUUUUUUAUCUUACACUUAAUGUUGAUUCAUAAGUUUUAUUUUAUAUUUAUAAGUUUUUAUUUUGUUUACCAAUAACACUCUAAUUUACCACUUAUAUAUUAACUGACUUGUUUUACAUUUCAUUUACAAGUCUUAUAUUUUAUUUACUUAAUUGAUGUUUUAUUUUAAACUUAUUAUUGAUUUACAAGUUUUUAUGUUAUAUUUAUAAGUUUUUGUUUUGUUUACCAUUGAUACACUAAUUUACCACUCAUAUAUUAAUUUUCUUAUUUUACCUUCCAUUUAUAAGUCUUAUAUUCUAUUUACAUAAUCUAUAUUUUAUUUUACAAUUAAUUUUUAUUUUUAUUUUUUAUUUAAAUUUAUAUGUCUUAUGUUUAUUUACAUAAUUUAACGUUUAAAUAUGGUAUCGAUGCUGUGAUUUUAAUCACGGCAUUAUAGAAAGACCUAAUUAGCUAAAAUUCUCGAUAUAGAUACUCGUAGUACAUUCUAAAGGUCGACUAAACAUUAAGUUCGAAAAUUUAUUCCAUUAAUACGUGGGGAGAAAUCUACUGUUAUUUAAAUAGAAUAAAUUUUAUAAGACUUAAACUCAUUCUUUCACAAGCACUAUUGAGUUAUAAGCCUACAAACCAAAAUUCGAUUUAUUAUUCAACUUUGUUAUGAAAAUUGAAAAUAAAGUAGAGAAUUUUUUUAUUUAGAAUAUUUUUACCUUUUUAGAGUAUAAUUAUGUAAAAUGAGUUAGUAGGGGGGUGAUAUUGGUAGUAUACUAGUAUGAAAGGAAUUGAAUAAAUUUUUUUCAAAAAAAGGAAAUCCGGAGCCGCAGGCAGGUCACGUGGUUCAGUUGUGCUAAGUGCUCAGUGGUGAUGACUGAUGAUAUCAUUAACUAGUUUUUUACGAAAGAAAUCGAGCCCAUACUGAUCUGAUAACACUUUCUUGCCACGUCGAGCUCCCAAAAGAAAUCACCAUUUAAUUGAUGAACCACAGACGGCCAGUUGGGUUCUGUUUCAUAUACGUGGCAGAAUCCUAAGUAAUUGCUUGGAAUAAUUAACAUAUGGAAUUAUAGAUUUCUGCACGAGCAGUUAAAUGGCAAGUUGUUGACUUGGUUGUUCAUAUUUAGAGGUGGCAAAAUCGGUGAGCGGAUUAUUAUUAAUUUAAAUCGGUUUAAACAUGAUUUAUUUAAUAAUUACGUUAAAAUAUUAAAUAUGAAAUAAAAAUAAAAAUAAAUGAGUGACAUGACAUCAUCCAUUAAAUAAUUGGACAAUCGUGUCACGAUAUCUAAUAACCUGCUUAAUACUUAUUUACACAACAUAUAUCAAAGAUUUCACACUUAUUUGACAAAAAUUCAAUUUUUAUAUAUUGAUAUUAUGAAAAUAUAUAAGUCUACUAAAAUAUUACAUAUUUAUACUACUCAUGUUGUAAUUCCAUUUAUAAUUUCAUAAAAUAAAAUACCAUAUAAAUGUUCAUCCUUCACAAAAUCAUUAUUUAAUUAACUGGGUAAAUGGUUCAAGAAUUUAAACCUAACCCAAUAGAGAAAAAAAUUAUGUUGACAUAUUUAAUAAUUAUGUUAAAUUUAAUGAUUCAAACCUAUUUUUUCAUAAUAUGUGUUUAUGUCUGUUCAGUAUAUUUCAUCAAAUUUUGUCAGUUCAAUUUAUAAUAUAUUAGAUAUUUAAAUAAGAUUUUCUUCCGAAAAAAAAAAUUAAAGUUCAGGCGUUUGUUUCAUACGUGUUCAUGUAAACCCCCGGCCGAUGCAACGUAGCUGGACUCGUCAUGUAAAUAUAUACCACCAAAUCUUUUUUUUUUUUCCUUUCUGAUACAAAGCAUUACUUUCGUUAAUUCAACGAGUGAAUACAAAUGUGCUCGGUUUUUUUUUUUUUUUUGGACAAAGGAAAUAUAAUUUCAUUCCAACAUAAUAUAAUAAUACAACAGCUAAUCCAUAACAAAUUGAAGAUCAAUCUAUAGAUAAUAUGUUAUAAUAAAUAAUUGAGCCUUGAGGAUCAAUCUAUAGAUAGUCUGUUACAAUAAAUAACGGAACAAACCAUUUACUUUCACAGUUCAUGUUGACGAAGAGGGAGAACACAACGCACCUCAAACACAAUUAAGAUGCAUAUCCACAAUACAUCAUGCAUCCAACAUGCUUGAGCUCUACCCAGAACAUCCCUAAUACUAUGUCUAAAUCAGGUUGUAUGCAUACUUUCAAGUUUAUGUCCGGAAAAUAUGCCCAUUCUGUUUUCUUUCGUUUCAUUUAUCCAUAGAUCUAGGUUUGUGGAUUUUUUGUUCCAACCUAUAUGGUGGCUGUGUUCCCACGCUCUAUGGUGGCUUGUGUUUGUGUUGCUGUGUUGGUUGUCUUUCAGAUUUCAUGUCUACAAGGAUCAGAUUUGAUAAAUAAGAGAACGUAAAAGAUUUUCUAUAGUUGAUCUGUUACAUUGCUGGUUGUAUUUUGAACCUAAAUUUAAUGUUUUUAAUUAGUCUUACGGGAGCAAAUUUAUAAUUGAACUAGCAAGAAUAAAAUUUUCCUGGCGACAUUUGAAUUGAUCGUGUACGACAUUAAAAGACUGUAUCAUUACAUGAUUCUUUAGUAUACUGAUACUAUUCGCACCACAUCAAAAUACGAAAUCAAUGAUUGUUUAUCUGUUGACUGCAAUGGAUUAUUUGUACAUUAAUCCAAAUGUUUGUGUAAUUGUCCGUGAUAGACUCACUAUUAUUUUCUUAUACGUUAAAUGGAUUAAAAGUGAGGGUUUUGUGUGUGUGUGUGUUCAUAUUUCAGCAAUAAAGGUUCUUGUUCUGUCGGUGUAAUUGGAUGGAUGGUUUUGCUUCAGUGUUCUGUCUCUCUCUUUCGUUUAUAGUUUUCACCAAUUAAUUGAGAGAAAACAAAUAUUGUUUGCUAAACGGUUGAGUAAAUCAACUAUAUAUAACUAGGAUCUGUUAAGUUACUUGGGUAUUAACGACUAAUUAUGUUUUUAAUUACUUUUGUUUAUUAAUAACUUUUAACAAAAAAAUCUAAUUGCAUUGAUAAUUUGAGUAAAUGUCAAAUAUUUUCUUUACAUUCAUAAGUGAAAAACUUUUAACAAAAAAUCUAAAUUUUCUCACUUUAAACUUUUAUCCCUCUAAAAAUUUUAUGACUAACCUGAUCGUUGAAGGGUUUACGCCACUAAAGUCGGCCCCACUAAAGCCGGCCCUUUGACUGUUUUUCUUAUGUUUAUAGCGCAUUAUCUAAUUAAGGUUAUCCCGUCACCUAAGGAAUAUAUACCUCUUACUCUUAAGAAAAAAUUCAAAUGAGUGUAAUUGAACUUCGAAAAUAAAAGGCACAACAUGAGAAGCCCACAUCAAGAGUUCAACAAAGUUUGAUCUAAUAAAGAGAAAGUUCAUGAAAUUACCAUUUAAUAAAUUGGGACAAAAUUUUUACGAGUAAAUUGGCGUCGUUUAUGAGGACUUCUAACUAAAAGUCUUGGAACUCUACUGAGAGCAUGGAUGUGAGCUAUGAGCAUUAUGACCUUGUGUUCGAAUACGGUGAGUUCUAGGGUUGAGGAAGCCCAUUCUCAAGGAAGAAGACCAUUGAUGGAUUCAUCAUUUGAUGGCCAGCUACAUGGGCAAGCUUGAUUCCAAAGUAAAGUGGAUUGAUUAGCUUAGAACUUUGAUAGAAUGUUUUAUCAAUUCCAAGCUCAAGUUGAGGAAAGGGAGGACUCAAGCGAUCCUAGUGACGAUGAAGUUGUGAUGAUGAACUUGAUUCGGGCUCCUCUAGAGCAAGGUACAUGGAAGGCUUGGAAGAAAGUGACCUUAGACACAAAGAUCUUGGAGGAUAGGGGCUAGAGAAGUCUUUCUCUCUCUAGGCUUUAUCUCUUUAAAUUUUAUUUUUUUAAAAGUCCAGUGAUUGGCCUGAUCGUUAAAGGGUAUACGUCAUUAAAACUAACUAUUUGAUUGUUUAGGUUAUGUUUGUAGGCAUUGUCUUAUCAAGAUCAUUCUCAUCACUAUUUUUUUUAAUUAGCUAUUAAAAAGUUGAAAGUUUUAUUUUAAUUUUAAUUUUAAGUUGGUGUCAGGCGUAUACUAAAAACAUCUUAAAACAAAAAAAAAAUACUAUCAAUAUGAUUUUAGCGUAAGAAUAUUUUAAAAAAUUCUACAAAAAUAUUAUCAUUUUAUCCCCAUCCAUGAAAACAAAGAAUCCACCGAAUGCAUUUAACAAUGAAAUUUUUAUAUUUAAUUUCUUCCAAAAUUGCAAAAUUAUUUGUUCACCAACUCUCUUUUUUAAUUAAGAUUUGCUUAAAUUUAUAUAAAUUUAGGACAUAAAGAUUGCCUUUAAAGAGGGGAAAAAAAGGAAAGAAAGAAAAUACGGUGACCAAUAAACCGUUUAUGAAUAGUAUGUUUAUUUUAUGAAAAGGAAGCAAUUUAUUUUUAGCGAUUUCUUACAUAUAUAUCUUUUGAUGAAGCCAAACACAUGAAAGAAUAAUCUCAACACAAUUAAACAAGUGACAGUGGGCAUGCCUAAAAAAGGAGCUAACAUAACACUUAUUAGUUCUGAUGGUUGCAAAUUUGCAACAUCCGAUAAGGAGUAGCCUCCUUUAAACUUAAGUCUAGAGUUCGAGCCUUGCUAAAAAGAUGGAGUAUAUCUUUUUCCAGUGACGAUUUCUUAACCCAUGAUUUUCUUUUUCACUGAAAUAUCUUCUGAUGACCAAAAACGCAAAGAAGAAAUAGCUCUAAGCCAAUUAAACAAGUAAUAAUGGCAAGGCCUAAAGAAGGUGCUGACAUUGCAUAUGUGCCCAUAACGAAUGCAAUCACCAUUGCUCCCAUGGAAAUGAUGGCGAACCAAAUGGAAGCAGCGAACAAAUCAUCAUCGAAUUUUUUGAUUACUUCAAGCUCAAGAGAUACUAUAAAGUGAAUAAAGAAGGCAGAAAGAGAAAGGAUCAUGGCAAUGGUAUCUGUUACCAUAAAUGCCUGAAAAGCUGUAUUUCCCCUCAGGAUUGCAGCGCCAUUUUCGCUUUUUUAACCACCAGUAAUAAUGAAAGAUGUUGCGAAGGCCUGUUGCUACGAGUGCAGCCACUACCAGAUGUGACGCUCUAGUAUCCUUGAAAUCAUCUUUAGGAUAAAUAGGCUCUUGCAAUACAUGUGGUUCUCUUAUGGAUACGAGUAUUGUCCUGUGCCAAAAUCUUUGGAUAAUUUUUGAAUUUCUUCCCGCAAUUUACAUUUGAAUAUUAAUUAAUAAAUUAAUAUACAAUUUGAAACCAAAUAAUAAUGUUUGGGGGAAAAACAGAAAAAGUAGCAGAACACCACGUGUCGAUGAACAGAAUAACUCCGGUAUAAUCUGAGGUACCCGGCAUAAUUCGAGGUACCCCACUUAAUUCGAGGUACCUCUCAUAACUCGAGAGUAACUCAAGGUACCCCGCUUAAUUCGAGAGUAACUCAAGGUACCCUGCAUAAUUCGAGGUACCCCACAUAACUCGAGAGUAACUCGAGUUACCCGGAAUAACUCCAGCAUAAUUCGAGGUACUCGGAAUAACUCCAACAUAAUUCGAGGUACCCGGAAUAACUUGAGGUACCAUGCAUAACUCCAGAGUAACUCGAGGUACCCUGCAUAAAUCGGGGUACCCCGAAUAACUCGAGGUACCCAACAGAUCAGAUGCAGAAGAACCCUCUGAAAAAGUCCGCCAUAAGAAAUGUUUCCACAUAAUUCGAGGUACCCGGAAUAACUCGAGGUACCAUGCAUAACUCCAGAGUAACUCGAGGUACCCCGCAUAAAUCGGGGUACCCCAUAUAACUCGAGGUACCCAACAGAUCAUAUGCAGAAAAACUCUCUGAAAAAGUUUGCCACAAGAAAUGUAUUCACCUCUUAAAGGAUAAUGUUUGAUUUUGUCAGAAUUAGAUAUCAAAAUGUCAUACUGAAAAGUAGCGACAGCCGCCUGCUACCUCUGCCAAAAGUGAAGGACAAUGUCCCAAGGACAGUGGUCCUCAGCCGCCUACCAGACAACCACUGCAGAGGUACCCUAGACCACUCUCCAGCGCGCGCCACGUUUCCAAAGGAUAAGAUACGCCGCGAAUGCCUUCUUGAUUCCCAAACAUGCACAUAACAGCCCAAAAAUGAUAAAAAUGUAAAAAGACGUGAAAGACCUGAAAAUGGAUAGCCCAUAGCCAAAAAGAAUAUGCCACGUGGCAACUGAGGUACUCCAUAAAUAAACGUGUCUAGGUUUUAUUCUCCAUAAAGUUCUCAUUCACUCACACUCCACAAAAUAAGUUUUCUUCAACCUUAAACCUUGAUUUAUAGAGGGCUGGCAAGCUCUCUUUACUAUUAAAAAGCUUGAGUUUUCUAACUUGAGCGUCGGAGUGUGAACGCCGGGAGUACCCCGGCUUCACCUCAAAUCUCUAUUUCACUGUUUUGCAUUGGUGAAGCUCGUUUCGAAGACCAUUUUUCUUGGUUUAAACCUUUCAUCAUUGUUACCUUCAGAAGCACUACACACAAAAGCUUGAGUUUGCUAACUUUUGAAUUCAGAAGCAUCACACACAACAAACUAGCGAGGUACCUCGUUUCCCUUAAAAAUAUAAAUUCAUUGUUCUAGAUAGAUUUGCCUUUUCCUACCCCCAAAAUCUGUCGAAAACAAAUAAUAAUAAUAAUAAUAAUAAUAAUAAUAAUUGCCUUGAACUUAGGAUAACAAUAGUCCAACAUUUUGCAACGCUAACAUUUUGCUUGUUGAUGGCCUCAUAGUGGCCUUUACUCUUCCAGAUAAAUCGUCAAAGAUUUCUUUUCGAUGAACAGCAGCAAAAAAAUGGACAGUAGUGUUCCCCUUGGCAUCCCCCUCAUCCAUAAGACUACUUGCUAACAUAUUAUCUACAAGAUUUCUUAAUUCUUCAACUUCAAACCUAAACCCAGCAUAAUGAAGAAAAUUUCAUCCCCAGUUAUCGACCAGUUCAUAACAUUCUGGAUUUCUAGAAAUAAUUGCUUCAACUACUCUGGCAUCCCUUCGGCCCGUGUACCAAAUGAAGAGCUGUCAUCUUUCGAUCUUUGUCAGCAAUCUUUGCUGCAGUUCGAUCAAUCUUUAAUAUUAGCUUAAGUAUCAAGUAAUUUCGAUGAUACGCAGCGUAAUGAAUUGGAGUCCACCAACACUGGUCUAUUCCUUUGAUCAUACUCUUCUUUCCUUCAAAUAACUGUUGAACCGCACAAUCAUUCUCUUUUGAGAGUAUUAAGACAAAAGAUGAAUAAAAUUAUAGCUCAAAUUAAAUUUUUAACAUCCAACCUCAAAUUUAAACUCCAGUGUCCAACUAGAUAUAAUUCCCCUGUGCCAACAGCAAACUUAAUUAAAACAACACUCCAAGAUUACUAGAAACAGAAUGAGCAAAGUUCUUGUAGAAAAAAGAUAUCAAUAUUGAAAUUCCUACUGAAAGGGUAUGAUUAAACUUACAUAAAUCAAUGUGCAUUGUUGCAGCAUGUAAAGCCUGUCUUUCCAUUGGGGCCUUCAUAUAUAUAUGGGACACGGAUGUGCAGCUUUUCAAAAUGGCAACCACCGUAUGAGAAGAGUGCUCAUACUCGGCAGCCAUGCAAAGUGGUAUUUUGUUGUACUUAUUUGCAUAAUAUGGAUAAUUAGGGUCGUCUCACGUCAAUAUUUUCACCACAUCGUCAUUUUAAUGAAAUACUGCCUCGUGAAGAGUUGUAUGCUUCUCUUUAUUCGUCAUCCUAAUCAUCUGCCUGGAGGCUCCUACCCCACUUUCGAGCUCUUCAUCUUCGUGUUGAACUAAUUUUGCUCUUUCAAUAAGAACACUCACUAUAUCACAAUGGUCGAAUUUUGCCGCAACGUGACGUGAUCGAGUAUCGCCUUUGGCAGUAACUUGCAGUAGCAGCCAUGGGCAUAUCUAAACUAUUUCUCCUACAAACCUGGUUGACACAUUUUCUGUCUUCUGCAAUUUGAUGUUGAUAUGCAGGAUUGUGUUCUUGAUCUUGCUGUUAACAGGCUCUCAAUUACCUCUCUUGCCAUAUCUUUGAAGGGCUCCAAAUUGCCCGCAGCUGCAACUUUGAACAAAUUUGGGUCUAUUUGUGGCUGACUGGUCUCACCAUUGUUGUCCAAUAAUGAAGCUUCCUCAAUCUCAAUGGAAACAGAAUUCAUGUCGGCGAAGUUGAUCUAUUAGGCAAGGGUGAAUAGUAUCUCGGAUGCACACAACACUUAAUUUUGAAGUGAAGAAAAAGAGAAGCCAUAAUUCUAUAAAUAGGACAAGUAGUAUAAUUUUGCUUUGGACCUUUUUUUUUUUUCUUCCUUUUGAAGAUAGGGGAUUUACAACCACUCCUUUGGAAAUUUCUGAUGAACAAAAGAUCAAUAGACUAACAAUCGAGUGAUAUUUUAUUAAUAAUAAUUAUAUUUAUGAUUUUAACAAAUUGAUCAUUUAAAAUAUGAUAAAGAAUACAAAAUUGUAUAAAGGUUUUUUUUUUUAAAUCUCAUUAAUUGAUCAAUUUACUAAGUUCAUCUAUUAGUCAAAAUUAGAAUGAUAAAAAAUCAUUAUAUAAUAAAGAUUCUUAAUUUAUCUGUUAUUGUUUAUAGCAGUUGUAGUACAUAUAUUAAUUAAAAUUUAUUAUGACUGUAAUUUUCAAUAUUUCAAAAAUCCCCCUCUCUAUUUCUUUUCUUUUAUUGUGCGUUUUGGUUAUUUUUUAGGGAGAUAGGCCCCUGAUGCAACUUACAGUUACAGUUGACAUGCCUAGUAACGAGAGAAUCUUGCUCACAAUCAGUAGAGACUAGAGAGUCUAUGGUCAAAAUUCUUUUUUUUUUUAAAGAGUAAUUUGAUUUUUCAACCACUUUCCUUUUUUGUGGUCAACUAGUCAUAACUCACAAGGCUGACAGUCACUAAAUUUAGGGUGCAUUUGGGAUUGAGGUUGGACAACUAUAGCUACAGCAGUAAAGUGUUUGGUAAACACUAGCUGUUGUAACUUGAAAGAUAUGUUAAUAUGAUUUUUCACUUAUAUAAUGGAGAAUCUAUUAUAUCUUUAAUAAUUUUGUCAAAAUUAUUAUUUAAAUUUAUAUGUACUACAUAUUAUUAAUUUUUGUUUCAUAAUUACAACUUUUUUUCACAGCAGUUGUAGCUUAAAAGUUACAAUAUCUCAAUCCAAACACACCCCAAAGUGGCUUCUUCACAACCGGCAACUAUCCACUUACCAUUGGUUGAAUGCGGGAGUGGAGUCGUGUCUUUUGAAAGUUAAAAUAAAGUUAGAAGGAAACAAAUUCUCAAUGUGGGUUCUUAGAUCAAUUUUAGGACAACCACAUGAUUUUGCUGAUGGAAUGAAUGUCAUUAACGUGCUUAUUGUUGGGAUUUAGAAAAAAAAUAAUCUGUUUAUUUUUGGGAUUUAAAAAAAAUGAGGAAUGAGCAUUAUUAAUAAUAUUUAAUUGCUAAAAAUACAAAGAAAUAUAAAUAAAUUUUGAUUGAGUCUCAUAAAUUUAGGAAUGAGAAAGAAUUUCAUUUAAUUAGAUGGAAGAGGCAGGAAUAAGAAUGGAGAAAUGAGAAUAAAGAGUAAAAAUCGUUUAUCUUUAUUAAAAAUUAAAACUUUCUUUUUACUCCAUUUUGGUAACUUACAAUCAUCUAUUCUAAUUUUAAAAACAAAGUAAACACAUCAAGUUUGGAAUAUUGUUGAUUUCGAUCUCAUUCUUGUAGUUGAAGUAGACAAUUUAUUCUUCUACAUUUUGAUUCCAAUUCAUUAUAAUUCUUGUCGAUUAGUAUUCAUUGUUAAUAAACACACUAUUAGUAUAUUUUCAAAGAGACUAUAUUUUUUAGUUUCAUUCUAAUUCAUCUCAAAUCUCUCUCAUAUUGAAUACUUUGUGGAAAUUUAUUAAAGAUAUUUCAAAAAGAAUUUAUCGACAAAUCUAGCUGCCAUCUAUAUAAAUAUAUUAGUUUUUUUUUCUAAUUAGUGCUUCUUAAAAAGAAUCUAGCUCAGCCAACCCAAAUCAAUUUUUUUCUCCCUCAGCCUCUCAUAGGAUUUGAAUUCGGGUAAUUAAUAAAAUAAAAUUAUUUAAAAAUCACUCGCCUAAGUCUUUGAGGUAGUUUAAUCUUAGAUAAACAUUAAGGACUUAGUUAUCAAUUAUCCUAUUAAAAUUAGUAUGUUUGAGCAUAUGGCUAAGGUAAGCCAAAUCAAGUACAGUUGACGUUAUAUGUGAUAGAUUAAAUGGUUUAUAGAAGUGAGUCCUCUGCGAUAUAUAUCAUACAACCUAAUGCAUUUGAAUUUGUGAAUAUUGAAUUUGAAAGUAUAUAUUUGGUAGUCUAUUUUAGAGUAAUUAAUUUUAAUUAAAAAUAACUGUUGUAGUAUUAUCUCAAAACGUCACCUAAAUUGUAAAUUUAAUUGAUAAAAUCUCACGACUAAGGUCAAGAGGUUUAGAGACUUUACCUAAAAGUAUAAUGGUAAGUAUUGGCAUUUUGCCUUUGCCCGCUUUAUCAUGGUCAAAAAUCGCCUUUUGGGCCAUGGAGUGGCUCAUGUGCUUGUUUUGCACAAUCUUUAGGAAUCCAAAGUCGAUUUUGUUUUUGGUUCACAUAUAUUUCCAUGGAAUUCAGCAGAGAGCAGAUAAUUAAGCUAAUUCGGAGUUGGGAUUCCUUUCUGUUCAGUGGUGGGACCAAAAAGGGAGGGAGAAUGGGCUGAGCUUGGACAAGCCCAGGCUCAAGUCUGAGCUCAUAAAAGCCCUUCCACGUUUGGAGGGGCUGAACAGAACCUGGCCCAUCAUGUGCCUGAGCUUCCAAAGUCUCAACCAUUUCAUUUAUUAGUUUUCGAUGGUUGUUGCAAUAAUUCCUUCAAAGUAACGUCCCCCCCUUUUGGUCUUUCUCGGUCUUAAUUCAACUCAUUUGGUGAUACAGGAUUUGACUUUAAAAUGAUAUGUCAUUAUCUCUAUUGAAUGGUAAAAUUUUUAUUUACUUAUACAAGUAAUCAUGUUCUUAGCUCAUUAGUACAACUUUUGAAUCCCAAUUAUUAUUGGACUCGAUUUCUCUUCCAAUUAAGUUGGAUAGGAGUAGAUUUCUCCUCCAUUAAUAUGAGUAGAGCAAAUAUCACUAUGGUACUUUGUGAUAAUAGAAAUUCAAACUGUGUCAUACUAGACUUAUCAAGAAUAGUUUUGAUAAAUUUUUUAUUGUAAAUAUUACUAAAAUUCUGAUGGCAAUAUGUUAACCUAUUAAAAAAAACCAAAAAAAUAAAAAGUAAAAAAUACUAUACCACCCUUAAACAUGCAUCAUGGAUUUUCUUUACUCAUGUCUAAUUGAAGAUUUAUCAUGACGCACUAUAUAAAGAGAUAAUUUUUUUCAUUUUUUUUUUUGUUGACAAAGUAAUCAAGGUUUUAUUCCAUCAAUAUAAGAAAGUACGAACAAUUUAAAAUAUUAAAUUUGAUUUUGAUUCCUCUCACCAGUUCAAUCUAAUCAUUGACAACAAAAUAGACCGGUCUGCAUCUCAAAUUUGAUUUUUAUUAAAACAUCAGUGAUUAAUGUACAAUUAAAAUAAUUAUUGAUUAUUAGCAAAGAUUGAGUAAAUUAAUUAAUGUUUAUGUUAAAUGAAAAUAAAUCAUUUUAUUGAUAAACAAUGAUAGUGACUUACUACAAUCCCAUGAUCCAAAUCACAAGCAAGAAGAAGCUCAAGCCAAUUAAACAAGUGAUAAUAGCAAGGCCUAAAGAAGGUACUAACAUUGCAUACGUUCCCGUAACGAAUGCAAUCACCAUUGCUCCCAUAGAAAAUAAGGUGAGCCAAAGGGAAGCACCAAACAGAGCCCCAUCGAAAUCUUUAGUUGCUUCAAUUUUAAGAGACAUCAAGAAGUGAGUAAAGACGGCAGAAAGAGAAAAGACCAUAGCAAUGGAAUCUGCUACUAUAAAUGCUUGAAAAGCUUUAUUUCUCCUCAGGAUUGCAGUUCCAUUUUCGCUUCUAUAACCGCCAGGAAUGGUGAAAGCUGCUGCGAAGGCUACCGUUGCUAUGAGUGCAGCCACUACCAAAUGUGAUUCUCUUGUAUCCUUGUAAUCAUCUUUGGUAUCAUCAUUUUGCCNNNNNNNNNNNNNNNNNNNNNNNNNNNNNNNNNNNNNNNNNNNNNNNNNNNNNNNNNNNNNNNNNNNNNNNNNNNNNNNNNNNNNNNNNNNNNNNNNNNNNNNNNNNNNNNNNNNNNNNNNNNNNNNNNNNNNNNNNNNNNNNNNNNNNNNNNNNNNNNNNNNNNNNNNNNNNNNNNNNNNNNNNNNNNNNNNNNNNNNNNNNNNNNNNNNNNNNNNNNNNNNNNNNNNNNNNNNNNNNNNNNNNNNNNNNNNNNNNNNNNNNNNNNNNNNNNNNNNNNNNNNNNNNNNNNNNNNNNNNNNNNNNNNNNNNNNNNNNNNNNNNNNNNNNNNNNNNNNNNNNNNNNNNNNNNNNNNNNNNNNNNNNNNNNNNNNNNNNNNNNNNNNNNNNNNNNNNNNNNNNNNNNNNNNNNNNNNNNNNNNNNNNNNNNNNNNNNNNNNNNNNNNNNNNNNNNNNNNNNNNNNNNNNNNNNNNNNNNNNNNNNNNNNNNNNNNNNNNNNNNNNNNNNNNNNNNNNNNNNNNNNNNNNNNNNNNNNNNNNNNNNNNNNNNNNNNNNNNNNNNNNNNNNNNNNNNNNNNNNNNNNNNNNNNNNNNNNNNNNNNNNNNNNNNNNNNNNNNNNNNNNNNNNNNNNNNNNNNNNNNNNNNNNNNNNNNNNNNNNNNNNNNNNNNNNNNNNNNNNNNNNNNNNNNNNNNNNNNNNNNNNNNNNNNNNNNNNNNNNNNNNNNNNNNNNNNNNNNNNNNNNNNNNNNNNNNNNNNNNNNNNNNNNNNNNNNNNNNNNNNNNNNNNNNNNNNNNNNNNNNAGAGUAGUUUAUUGUCUUAUGUUAAUAAGAGAAGAUAAAAGGGUUAGGUUAGAAGCCAUAAAAGUGAGUUAAUAUGAAAAAAAUAAAAAUUGAUGGGAUAUUCUCCCAUAAUCUAUUAAUGUAAGUUAUUAGGAAAAAACUAUUUAUUCCGACUUUAACCCCGAAUCCGCGUCCCGAAUAUUGCCAGAAACGGUGUGUUUGCUUUGCUUUUCCUUUUAAUUCCAGUUGUACGGUGCGUUUUGCUCUGGUUGCUUUCCUUUUAAUUCCAGCUGUGCAGCAUGUGAGCAUUCUCUUUGUCCUUCUUUUUGCGCCUGAACUACAACACUCCGCUCAGAACUUCCAAUCUGCAGACUACAAACUGCAAAACCCCAGAGCUUCCAAACUGCAAAAUGCCAUGGUCGUUUAAAAUGUGCAGACCUAACUACUCAAUUACGCAUGGUCUUUCCUCCCCCCGAGAAAGAGAAAUGUUAACUGCUGAAAAUUUGGAACAACAAUUUCUAGAGUUUCAAUUUCCCCCGCAAGCAUUAGUUUUGAUCUUAUUCUUCCUACAUUUAGUGAUUGUUUUUAAAAUCGUGAGCAGUUUGAUUUUAAAUUUAUAAAUCUUGAGCUAUUUCAUUUUAAUUUGUGAGCUAAAUCAUGAGCAUUUGUAAAUUUAUAUAUCAACAUCAAUUAGCUUUAAAUUUUCACAGGUAUAAAAUUGUAAAUUCUUUAGCUCAUUGCUAGAAGAAAUCUUAAUCUUUCAGGCAAACAACAGAAACUUAACAAGAGAUCCUCAAGAAAGUGUAAGUUCGAGAUAAGGUGAUAAAACUCUUCAUCAAUAAACUAUAUCGAAUUCAGCUUCACUUUUAAAAUGUGCAGACUUAACUACUCAAUUAGGCAUGGUCUUUCCUCCCCCCGGAAAGAGAAUUGUUAAUUGCUGAAAACUUAGAACAAUAAUUUCUAGAGUUUCAAUUUCCUCAACAAAUAAUCUAAUUCAUAUAACCUUGAGUUUGACAGCCCUUGAGACACACAAAUGCUUCAAGUCCCAACAAUCAUAACAAAACAAAUCUUCAAGCAAGGAGCAUUCACCAGUAAGCCAUCAGACCAUCUGAUCAUUUACACACAGUAUACACAGUAUUUUCACUUAUGACUUCAAAACCUAAAUCUUUUACCAUCUUCUCAAUGGCCAAUCCCAAUCCAUUCACCAGUCAUACGAGCUGAUACUUUAACAUCUAGAAGAGUCAGGAAUACUCUCAAUUUCGGCAAAAAAACCUUACGCUUGCAGAACUGAAGCAGGGAAUCGUCUACAUAUUCCAUAAAUUUUUCAUCUUCCUUUAUUGACCAACAAUUUCCACCAUUCAACCCACUUGACCCCCAACGAAGUAAUUCAUUUUGAAAUCCACAAUAAGAAUGGCAUAUGUAACUAAUUCCAUCUCUUUGUGAGUGUCGGCUAUCGCGUGACUGUUGGUGAUGGCAACGGAGAUCUCGAUCACGUGGCGGUGGUCCGUCGUCUGUGCCGGAUGAGUGUGUAUGAAAACAAAAACAAAAUCAGAAAUCCAAAUUGCCUAACUAAUUUGGUAGAUGGAUGUUUUCUGACCGAGUCUCCGUUUGUUCCCAUAAUGGCGGUGAGAAUCCGAUCGAGUCUCGAUGACAGCUCAUUGCUACGACUCGUGACUGUGUCCCUUGAGUCUUUAUUUGAAAAUCCAAAUGCCGACGACGACGGCUGCCUCCACGAACGGUUCUGAAAUCACACCGUGCGUUGAUGACGUGGCGGUGGCGAUUAACAACAGGAACUUCAACUCGGAGGAGAGGUUCAACGACUGUGAUUUUUUGCUGAAGCGGUCGUAUUUGUUCGGAUUCGAGCGGAGUCUUGCGUCGGAGAGGAUGGUGACGGAGGCGGUAACGGCGUCGCCAUGGAGGCACAAGAGGGGGAGUUUCUGGAGCAAACGGCUGUCUCUGUUUGGCUCAUUGACGAAGUCUAGAGCCUUCUGGAGCAAAGGAUUAUAUACGUCCUUUUUGUUUUCCUUUUACUGAGAUUGUAGCUAAAGCCGGUUACCCAUUUUCUAAGUGUUAAACCUCAGCCGUUGAUUACCUUUCUUUACGAUCUAAAGGGUCAUUUGCAAAAGGACAAAUGACUGGGGUACCAAACCUCUGACGCAAUGUAGCUGGACCCUAUUAAAAGAGAUAAAGAAAAAGUCAAUUGAUAAAACGGCAGUAAACACUACAUUGGAGUAUGUGUUUCUUCCUGUCUUUCACUUUAGUCAAGCUUUCUCAUUGGAAAGUUAUUCUAUAUUUCUAUGUCUAUUUGGCGAACCGGCAGCACUUCAUUCUAGACACAUAGAAGCAGGUGUCCUGUACCACCAACCCUGUGGCCAUCAGGAACACUGGAGUAGCAGUAGAGGAUAUUCGACAUUUCCCAGCCCCAGUCCUUCUUCCUAGAGACAAGCAUAUGCGGCCAGCAGCGGUUUAUUCUAACAUAGUGCUCCCUAAUCUUUCCUUCACCAACAACACUGGUAACUAUAGAGUAACAGCAUUCAUGCCCACCCCAUACCUUGUCACCAGGAUCUGCAGUUUGACUCCCAUCUUCAUGAAAGUAACGGUGCAUUAGAGGGCUAGUACCCUUCCAGUAGGGAUCGAGAUUAAGCCAAUACUCUGGUACCACCUGAAGGCAAAAUGGCAUUCAAAGGCAUUCAUCCGAUCAAUUGAUCAUUUCAGUUUCCAACAAAAUAGUAGAAAGCUGCACAGUAAAGUAAAGGACACACAACAAAUGCCUUGGAUGCAUGCUAAGAAAUGUUUGAAUAUAGGAUUACCAGGAUUAUCAUUUACUUGUGACCAGUCCAGGGAAUAGUUACAUGAGUGAGUGCCUGAAUUAUGAGCAAUGCCUUACAAAUAGGCAGAUUAUAAUUCAUGAGUUUCGUUCCUCAUGGUCCGAAAUUUCAUUACCAAGGCUACACAUGAUCAAACUUUUAAAGCGUCAAAACAUUAAUGUUUUAUAUGUUCACAUUUCAAACUCAUGCAAGUUCUAGUAAUUUUGGCAGCACAUCAAGGCCAGACUGAAAUCAAGAGGCGAGUCACCACUCACCAGACCUUACCAAUAAUUCAUAACGUAUAAGAAGCACUGUACUAAAUUACAUACCUCGUUAAAAUGAAACUCCCAAACAUGAUCACAAAGGUCUUCUUUCAUGAUACGAGUCUAAGAAAAUUUAAAAAAAAGAAUAGUUGGUGAUAGCUUGCUCAAACAUGCAUAUGGAGAGUGAGUGAUUCAAAAGAGAGACAGGAGAACAAAGGGAGAUUGAUCAGCACUCACGCGUUUUCCAUCCGUGACAGACAAUGAAUAUGCGGCCAGCUUUCAUAACCCCUGGACUACAGCUGAACGAGGUAUGUGCGCUUCCCCCAACCACAGUUCCUCGCACUAAAAUAGACAGGAAACUCAAGUGAAUUAUCUUUACUCAGUUACUCUUCAAAGUAGAAGCAUGACCCAUUAAGUUACCUGGAGAACUGAAAAAAAUAAAAAUAAAAAUAAAAGGUAGAUAUUCUCUUCCGGGUAGGUUUCAAAUCAAGCAGAGAAAAUAACUGAAGUUAAGUUAAAAAUAUAUUUAUCUUCACAAAUCAUGCAAUCAGAACGAAUAAGCAACUUAGGCCAUAAGGCAGUAAAAACGUGCAUUGGCAUUCACAGUUCAGUUUGGUUUUAUAUAAAAAUAUACCCCAAUCCUUUAAAUAAACCAAUAAUUUACCCAAGGUCUAGUUUCAAUCAUAAGAAAGAGCUUCCUAGGGCCCAGGAUUUUGAAAAAUAAAAUAUACCAACAAUAUACCUCAACUAAGUUACUUUACAUAGAUAUAUCCUUAAGGGGUGAACAAAGACAAAUAGAUACUAGACAAAAAAUAUUCAGCUUAAAUCAAGAAUACUCAGACGAAUUCAAGUUGGUCAAGAAAGCCAAGUCGAGUAGUAAAUUGAGUCAAAAAUAAGUUGAGUAUUCAUAUAAUGCUCCUGGCGGACAAGAAAUCCUGUAAGCUGGAUUUAGAUCCAGUACUGAGCUUGGCUGUGCUCAUCUCUUCAUAAUCAUCUACCACACAUGCAUGGAUAGCAAUUUUAGGUGAAGAUUUAAUUAAUUUUAUAUUCUUAUUGUUGAGAAGUCAAUAUUAGCCCAAAUAAGUCCACACCUAAAUUAAUUUGAUGUCAUUGCUUACAUCAAUUUAGUUAGGUGAAAAUUAGGUAUUUUUCCCAUGUUUAAUUUCAAUGGUUUAAAUUAGUUUGUGGUUAUUUUAAUGAGUGGUUUAGAUUGUUUCUUGUAAUCUAUAAAUACCUCAUUUGUAUUUGAGUUUUAUAAUUCAACAAUCAAAGCUUUAUUAUAAGCAUUUGAAAGUUUUCUUUAGAGUUCUUCUCUUUUGCAAUUUUGUGAGAUUAUUCUAAAGAGAGUUUUUCUUCUUCUUGAUCAAUUAGAGUUUUUACUCUAUUUUG